rnacentral:lncRNA from 1 species
ACUCGGCGAGUCGGAUGAAGAUUGUCUGAGUUCUUGGAUCGAGAGAGUACUCGUCGAGUCGAUGCCAUACUCGACGAGUAGCAUCGAGUAGGGUCGAGGAGUGAGAAUAGAGACUCGGCGAGUUGGCGGCCCAACUCGGCGAGUCAGGUCAACUGUGGGUUGACUUUGACCGAGAGUUGACUUUGACCAAGGGUAAAAGAGUCAUUUUACCCAGUGCAGUGUUUAGUAUUUGAUUGAGUGUGUUUAUGGACUUGUAGCCGGGGAGAUACCGGAGCAGCAGCAGUUAGCCCUCAGAGCUAUUCACUCAGCAGCCAGUUCACGAGGUGAGUUUCCUUUCAGUAGGAACGGGUCUAAGGCCACAAUGCCGGCCCGUUUAGCUAGCAGUAGUAUCCGGAUUUUGAUCUGAUGCAGUAGUUAGCAUGUUUGAUGCCUUCGUGGCUCAGACAGGAUUAUGUGUGUUCAUGUUAAGUGAUAUGUUUAUGCUAUGAUCAGUCAGCUUCGGACUUCGGUCCGAAGUCAGCUUCGGACUUCGGUUCGAUGUCAGCUUCGGACUUCGGUUCGAUGUAGGGGACAAGGUCCCAGUCAGCUUCGGACUUCGGUCCGAUGUCAGCUUCGAACUUCGGUUCGAUGUAGGGGACAAGGUCCCAGUCAGCUUCGGACUUCUGUCUGAUGUUAGCUUCGGACUUCGGUCCGAUGAAGGGGACAAGGUCCCAGUCAGUCAGCUUCGGACUUCGGUCCGAUGGAGGGGGCAAGGCCCCAGUAUGUGCUUGAUAUGUUAUUGUAUGGUAUGUGGUAAUUUGGGGGAGCUCACUAAGCUUCGUGCUUACAGUUUCAGUUUUGGUUCCAAGUACUUCCGCUAGCAGAGGGAAGAGUUCGGGUUGAUGGCAUCGCACACACCACAGCUUCAGCUUUUAUCCUGGGAGUUGAUUUAGUUCUUGGUUUUUAUAUGACAUGGAUAUGAUACAGUUUUCCGCACAGUGUUUUAUUAUUAUUUUGAGAUACAUCACGUAUGGAUUUAUGAUAUGACACUCAGAUUAUGGUUUUUGGUUAUGUUGAAAAAUGAAAUUUUUGGGUCGUAUUUUUGAGUCGUUACAAUGGAGGAUUUUGUGGUGUAUUGUGGCGCGUCAAUAUUGGGGUUGGGAGUAGUGCUGAUGCAGAGAGGGCAUGUGAUAACAUACGCAUCAAGGCAGCUGAAGCCUCAUGAGGCGAGGUAUCCCACCCACGAUCUGGAGCUGGGGGCGUUAGUGUUCGCCCUCAAGAUCUGGCGUCACUAUCUGUAUGGAGUUUGGUGUACCAUAUACACGGACCACAAGAGCUUGAAGUAUUUGAUGGAUCAGCCCAACCUAAACAUGCGCCAGAGGAGAUGGUUAGAUAUGGUAAAGGAUUACGAUUGUGAGAUCCUGUAUCACCCGGGCAAGGCUAACGUUGUAGCCGAUGCCCUGAGUCGUAGGGCAGAGAGCGCCCCGAUAUGAGACGUUUGUAUGAGAUUGACAGUGAUGACUCCGGUGUUGGACACCAUUCGAGGGGCCUAGGCUGAGGAUGUGAGACUAGAGAACCGUAAGAGAGAGCGGGUUAUCGGACAGGUAUCGGAGUUCGUCACCGAUAGCCGAGGGCUUAUGACCUUCCAGGGUCGGAUUUGGGUGCCAUUUGUGGGCGGGGCAUGCACCAUUCUGAUGGAGGAGGCACACCUAUCGAGGUUUUCGAUCCAUCCCAGGGCCGCUAAGAUGUAUUUAGACUUGAAGAGAGAGUAUUGGUGGCCCUGUAUGAAGAGGGAUGUCACAUGGUUCGUAGAAAGGUGUUUGACUUGUCGCAGGGUUAAGACCGAGCACCAGCGUCCAGAUGGGAAGUUGCAGCCUUUGGAGGUUCCCAAGUGGAAGUGAGAACAGAUUACCAUGGACUUUAUCACCAAAUUGCCAAGGACUACAAGAGGUGUCGAUGCAAUUUGGGUGAUUGUGGACAGGUUGACGAAGAGCGCUCACUUUCUUGCUAUCAGUGAGAGCUUUUCUGCUGAGAGGCUGGCAAGUUGUACGUGAGGGAGGUGGUAUCGUGGCAUGGAUUACCGAUCUCGAUCAUAUCAGAUCGACAUGUGCAUUUCACUUCCAGGUUCUGGAAGAAAUUUCAUGAGGAUUUGGGGACGAGGCUGCAUUUUAGUACCGCAUACCACCCACAGACUGACGGGCAAAGCGAGCGGUUGAUUCAGACGCUCGAGGACAUGCUUCGGGCAUGUGUAUUGGACUUCGGAGGGAUUUGGGACACAUAUUUACCUUUGGCUGAGUUUUCCUAUAACAACAACCAUCAUUCGAGCAUUGGUAUGCCACCCUUUGAGCUGUUGUAUGGGAGGAGGUGUCGGACUCCCAUCUGCUGGGGAGAAGUAGGGUAGCGAGUGAUGGGCAGUACAGAGAUAGUGCUCCAGACGACAGAGCAGAUACAGUAGGUCAUGCAGAGGUUGUUGACCGCUCAGAGUCUUCAGAAGAAUUAUGCGGAUAGGCGACGAUCUGAGGUCGAGUAUCGGGUCGGGGAUUUUGUACUCCUGAAGGUAUCUCCUUGGAAAGGAGUGAUCCGAUUCAGGAAGAGGAGCAGACUAGGGCCCCGGUAUAUCGGUCCAUUCAGGGUGACCGCGAGGGUCGGCCAGGUAGCGUAUCGAUUAGAGCUACCCGCGAUGUUGGGGCAAAUUCAUGACACCUUCCACAUAUCUCAGUUAAGGAAAUGUAUAGCCGACGAGUCGGCGGUAGUGUCAUUAGAGGAUAUUCAGGUAGAUGCGAGCCUGAAUUAUGUCGAGAGACCAAUUGCGAUAGUGGAUCGGAGGAUUAAGGUUUUGAGGAACAAGGAGGUGCCGCUAGUUCAGGUUCAGUGGCAACAUAGGAGAGGGUCCGAGCUGACUUGGGAGCCAGAGACAGAGAUGCGGGAGCAACAUCCUGAGUUGUUCACAGAGUGAGACUUCGGGGGCAAAGUCUGUUUUUAGUGGGGGAGAAUUGUAACAUCUCAAAAAUCAGGUAUACCUUGUGAACCUUCUUCUUUGAUUGAUUGUUAUAUUUAGCCCUUGAUAAGAAGAUGUUUGGUUGGCAGGUACGCGGGGCGUACUGGGGUGUGCGCUCAACGUACUUGUCCGCGUUCUAAUCGUGAAGGAUUGCCAGGUACGCGGGGCAUACCCAGUCUAGAAGAGAAACCCUAAUUCCGUGAGCCUCCCUAUUUAAGCAACCUUAUGGCCCUUUUUUUGGCCACCUUUCCCAGAGCAUUAUCAUUUCUAAACCCUAAAUCUCGUUCAUAUAGCAAGGGAGUGUCUAGGAGAGCUUGGUAGUGUGUUCUUGGCCAUUUGGAGCAAAGUCAAAGCCUUGGAAAAGGAAGAGUUAGAGCUCAAGCUUGUGCAUCCAAGAUUAGUAGUGAAAGAAGCUUCAUUUUGAGGUAAAAAGCUUCAAGCUUUACAUCUUUUCUGUUCAUACCUUGUAAGAGAAGUUUUAGGGUUUUUGUCCCCAAGUUGAUAGCUUUAUGAGUUAAUGAGCUCUUAGAAGCCGAGAUCUGUCCGAUGCUAGCUCAUUUAGGGUUGUUAUGUGAUAAAAAUCCGGUCUUGGUUGUCAAAAGUUGUUCAUGCAUGAGAUAUGGACCUUUAAAGGUUGGAAAUGGAGUGGUUUGGGUGUUGGUGACUUACACAGCCAUGAAAAGGCCUAAAGUCACCGACUUUAUGGAUUGAGUCGUAUUAGAGAAGUCAAAUCUGGAAUUUGGACGCAAGUCUUAACUAAUUAAGACCCAAAAAUCAAAGAAGACUGAAAUUGGGAAUUACGUCGGGCGUAAUCCCAGUACGCGGGGCGUAGGGGGUCGCGUUCCCCGUUUCUGUAAGGUUGCCGAGUACGCCCAGCGUACAGGGUUGGUACACGCGGCAUAACCCGGAGAGAGUUGACUUUUGUUGACUUUUAGGGUUUGGUCAAUAUUUGGGUCUUUGAGCCAUGAGAGGGGUAAAAUGGUCUUUUGCCCUUCUAAGAAUGCCAAGAGAGAGUUCAGUCUAGCCUUUGAGAGUUGUAUUGAUUAGGGUAUUUAUUCCAUGUAAUUAGGCGGAGGCUAGACCAGAUAUUCACCGAGUCAGAGAUUUACCGAGACACCCGAGGUGAGUCUUUUCACUAUACUUUACCUAGAGUGGUAAUUAGAGUUAUGUGACAGAGUAUUUUGUAUACUUUUUCAUGAUGUGAUUUAUGCUAUGUAUGUGCCAGAGUUUUCAGAGUUAGGACCGUAAGGUCCACAAAGUUAGGGCCAGAGGGCCCACAGAGUUAUGGGACUGGAGGGUCCCACUGAGACACAUUGACCAGAGGGUCAAAUAGAGUUAUAGCCUCGAGUGGCUAAUAUGUAUUGUGUGUGGUAUUUUGAGGAACUCACUAAGCAUUUAUGCUUAUAGUGUUUUGUGUUAUGUGUUUCAGGUACUAGUGACGGUCGUGGGACGGCGCCGACAUGAUUCGUACACACACGCAGAGUUUUAUAUGUUCUUUUGAUCUUGGGAUAUGUUUUAUGAAUUGAGACGUGAUACAUUGAGAUUUUUAUAAUAAAUGUGAAUGGGAAUGUAUUUUGAAAAUGCGAAAAAUUGUUUAGAUUUUUACGGUGUCACAAUUUGGUAGGUUUGAGGGACUCGGAUACACCUUCGGGCGUAUCUGAACUCAAACUGAUGAUUUGAGGAAAAUUUUUGAUAAUAAAAUAAUUUUCAAAGAGUAAAAGAGUUUUGAAACAAACAGAGCAGAGCCAUCUAUACGAUCAGCCAGCGCCCAAACGGUGAUUUCCCAAAAUACCCUUACAAUAAGUGUUAUGAGAUAUGUUAUGCUAUGAUAUAUGAUGAGUUAUGUUAUGCAUGCUAGAGUAGACUAGGUAUUUUUAUUAGGACUAGAGCGGCCUGAUUUAAUAAUAUUCAUUGUAAUUUAGACAUAAGGAGAAACAUGAUAAUCCAAUAACCAUAGCAUGUUAUAGAGCCAUACAUUUAUCAAGUUAAAAGGAAAAAAGCUAACAUUAUAGACACACAUAGGAAAACUGAGUUAGUAGACAACACCAUAUUGCCAUUAAUCGUGAUGACACAAUAGCAUGUUAAACUCGAUGUAAACCAAUUUUUGAUGCUAUCACAAAACUUAUUUAUUUAGACGAUCAUUUAAAAUUUUUAAAAAGAAUGUUUCCACAAUUUCACAAAAAGUUUGCAAUUUUAACAUAAGAUUUACCUAAAAUUCACCAAAAGGCUUGCAAUGUUUUCAUGAAAUCAAGGCAAAUGAACAAUUUUAUGAAAAUGGAUGAAUGAAAUAACCUUUCACUUACAUAUAUCCGGCCACAUUCUAUAAUUUAUGCACACAAAGAAAACAUCCAAUUUCCAUUUAAACCCAAUAACAUAUCCCAUUUUUAGAAAAACAAUACUCUUACCAGUUUCCAAUAUUUUUGAAGUAGAAAAAAAUAAGUAUUUUUAAGUCAGCUACAUUGACGGAACAAAAUAGUAUAUAUGAAACGACCCAAAAAUCAUGACUAAACAUUUCGUUUGAAUAACAUUACUUAAACCAUGAUUGUCAAACCAUAACAUAAUUCUUAACAUAAAAUCAGAGUAUUAAUUUAAAACAUAAUCUUAUUAUCAUAGUGAAACAUCCCAAGCUGACUAAUUAUGGUGCGUGCUAUGCGAUCAUCCCGAGCUCUUCCCUCCGACACCGGAAGUACCUGAAACCAAAAAUGAUAAUUGUAAGCACGAAGCUUAGUGAGCUCCCCCAAACUACCGCAUACCAUACAAUAACAUAUAAAGCACAUACUGGGCCUUGCCCACUGCAUCAGACCAAAGUCCGGACUAGCUAGGGCCUUGCCCCCUGCAUCGGACCGAAAUUCGGAAACUGCAUCGGACCGAAGCCCAAACUAACUGGGCCUUGCCCCCUGCAUCGGACCGAAGUCCGACUAACUGCAUCGGACCGGAGCCCGGACUAACUGGGGCCUUACCCCCUGCAUCGGACCAGAGUCCGGACUAACUGGGUGAACAUAGCAUAGCAUAAUCAUAACUACUAGCAUAAAUACAUAUACUGCAUACUGCGUUGGACCGAAGUCCGGAACAUAUAACACAAAAACACACUUGAAUCACAAAAGACAUCAAGCACACUGAACUACUGCAUCGGACCGAAGUCCCGAAACUACUGCUAACUAGACGGGUCGACAUUGUGGCCGUAGACCCGUUCCUACUGGAAGGAAACUCACCUGAACUGCUGAACUCGGCCAAUAACCCUCUGGCUGCUAACCGAGAACUCUCCGAAAUCCUGCUCCUAUAUCUCCCAGAGCAACCAAUACCAAUAACAACACUUAGACUAAACUAUCCUCCCGGGGUCAACUAAGUCAACUUUGGUUAAAGUCCCGGUUAAAGUCAACCUUCCUGAUUGACUCUACUCGUCGAGUUCUUAUACUCAGAAAACUCCCAUAACACGACUCAACUCGCCAAGUCGCCCCUGGACUCGUCGAGUUGAAUGAUCUCUAAUUCUAUCUUGACCAACUCGGCUGAGUCGCCAACCGACUCACAGAUCUGAAGCUUAACCAAAAGAGGUUGGGGGUUUACGACCUGAGUCGCCGAGUCCAAGAACAGACUUGCCGAGUCCAAGACAAUCUUCAUCAGACUCGCCGAGUUGUUCUUCCAACUCGUUGAGUCCAUGCCCAUCUUCAUAUGACUCGCCGAGUCCACCCAAGGAACUCGCCGAGUCUCUUCAGUCCUUCAUCCAUACAGAGGCUUUUUGAGCCAUGCAGGGGCUCCAAACUGUAGAUCCACUCUUUUAGGGCAUAACACCCACGUAAAGUUGCAAACUUUACGUGAAACCAAGGAGUUAAAGGUCCAAAUCACUCUAGGGCUAGGGCUUAAGACAAAGGGGCUUUACCAACAACUCUUUGACUGAUGCUUUAUGACAUGCUAAACCAACACAAGUCUAGAUAUGGAGUAGCAACCUCAGAUCUAAAUCUAAACCUGAAAUAAAUCUCAAACAUACCAAAAUGGCCCCAAAUCUCAUUCAUGAAUAGAUCUAGAUGCAAAAUAGGGAAGGUAACAGCUUAUUACCUCCAAGACGUGCCCAAACUGAAGUAGAUUCUGGAUCUACACCACUCUCUUGAUGCAAGCCCUCUUGAUCUUCAAGUUUCUUCCACUAGAAACAACUUCCAAAGCUUCAAUCUCCCUCCAAAGGCCUCACACACAUGAGCUUAGGGUUUUCUGGUUCUCAAGGGCAAUAAGGAGGCUGAGAGAAGGACAUAAAGUCCUUUAAAUAGGGUGUAACCCUCGAGAUUAGGGUUUUCUCAAUCCAGCACCAACUCGUCGAGUCCAGCUUCCGACUUGGCGAGUUGGUCACUUAAUUCACGACUCAAAACCCGCUCCGACUCGGCGAGUAAGUAUACCUACUCAUCGAGUCCCUUCUUCAAUUUACACUUUAAGCCCUUAACUCAAACUUUUGAAAUUUGGGAUGUUACAACUCUCCCCCACUUAAAUUGUCCUCGAAGCCUACUGCAGUAUACGCUUCCAAACUAACCACUUGCACUCCAGACUCCGAAUUCCUAAAUAACUCAGGUCCUUCCAGACCCUACCACUGCACCCCUUUUUAGAUUAACUUCUUCUCGCGUGGCAUCCUUGCCAAAACUCCAUGCCGACCACCGACCUCAAAUUCAACACAUAACAACCAAGUACCACCCGAUGAUACUGUCCUCUUCCUGACAGGAACACACUUUCGUGACUUGCGAAAGUUAUAUACCACAAUAAUUCACUGGGUCCUCUCUCAGUGCCAAACUACCCUCCCUUUUUCCAUAUAUGACGAUAACCCGAGCAACUCGCAAGAUUGGAACUCAUUCCGUCCUCUUCUUGAAUCCGUUCCUUUCAUGAUGACUACCCCAGGUUCCCACUAGAACAACAGAAUUCACAGAUCCACUUAUCCCUGUGAUUCACUUAUACUUGGCCAUCCUUCGCAAGGCCCUAAAUUUUGCAAAUGAACAAAUUCCUUGCAACAAGAUCACAUCUACUCCGUCUGAAAUCUGUUGUCUCGAGAUGGUCUGAAUCCCUGACAGACCACUCAUACUAAAUCAUUAUAGAUGAACCCCGCGCGCGCGCACCAAUUCUAUCACGUUAUUCCAAUUACACCGCCUGUAUGAUACCAUUUUUUUUCAAUAUAAUGAAAAGAAAAAUAAAGCCAAAUAUGAACAUUUUAGCGUUUCAUAAGAAUAUCACCUCAAAAUCAUUAUGAAGCAUAUGAGCAGCAACUAUCCAUGAAAUACCCCUUGCUAUCACGAUAACAGAAGGUUCGGAAGUAUGUCGUCUCUCAAUAUAUGAUACAAACAUGAAAAGGGCAAUAUGGGAAUUCUGCUCACCAAUUUCCGUUACAAUUCAAAAGAAUUCCCAAAAAUUCAUCUAUCAAUUAAUAGACAACAGUUUAUCCAUACAAUAUUUAAUUUGGAAAAAAAAGCAGGGCCUUACUUUAUAGCCCAUUUUAUCAACCAUUUCCUACACCACUUGAUACAUGGUUGGCCUAGCCUGAAACAAAACAAAGAACAACAAUUUCAAUUAGUCGAGGCAACAAGGAUGAAAAGUUAAAAAAAAAAAAGUCAAAUCACCUUGCAAGUUACAUCAACCUCAAGAUCGAACUUGAAUUAAUCAAAUAAAAAUUCAUUCAUAUAAGUUAUAAAAUAGGGAAGAAAGAUUCGUUUAACUGUAAAUAUUUUCCUUUCUUUUUGGACAUAUAGAUACAAUGGAUUGCUUCACUGGAGAAAGAAAGUGAGUUUUAUGUUAACUUACUUACGCCUAAUUGGGUCUCAAAACAAAGCCGACUUCCAACUUAUUUUAGAUUAUUUUCUUCUUCUUCAUCAUUCAUCAAAUGAAAUGUCUACUUUCUUUCAAGAAUCUAUCAUAAAGCGGUUAUUUACUGUUAGUUUUAAAACUAUGAAAAAACAAUUAAAGUAUGGAAUAUUGGCAUACUCUUGCACAUUAUAUUAGCUUCUGAUAACUCCUGUUGUAGGGCACUUGUGAUCCUACAAAUGAAAGAACUGUUAAGUAAAACUACUAUAAAUCAAGAAAUAAACAUCGAUUUUUUUAUCAAUAAAGUAACAAAUCCACUUCUUAUUUUCCAAAACAUGUCAUUUUUUAAUUAGUAAGGCAAAAGCUGACGUGGCUGCCACCUUAUUCCAUAUCAACCUCCACAUCAGCUCAUUCGUACAGUUGACAAGCCAUGUGGCAUAGUACCUGCUGAAAAGGUAAAUUUUGGCUAAAGUAAAGGAUUUUCCUGGUUUUUUGAAUUUUUUUUUUUUUUUUUUUUUUUUUUUUUUUUUUUUUUUUUUUUUUUUUUUUUUUUUUUUUUAAAUUGGGACUGCAUUGAAACUUCUUUCAAAAGUUUGAGAUUUUUUAUGAUAAAACCCCUUCUUAAAUUCCAAUAUUUAUUUUAAUAAAUUGAUUUAUUAUUAUUAUUAUUAUUAAUGUUAAACGUUAAAAAGAAUUAUAUACCGGACCUCAGAAACACAAAUACGUCUAUUUGUAUUUGACGAGAGAGAGAGAGAGAGAGAGAGAGAGAGAGAGAGAGAGAGAGAGAGAGAGAGAGGGGGGGGGGGGGGGGGGGGGGGGUUGNNNNNNNNNNNNNNNNNNNNNNNNNNNNNGAUGGUACGGUGGGUGGCCUAUUCGUGAUUUUUCUAGUUUUCAAAUAUUAAGAAAAUAUUAAUAUAAGGUAAAAAAAAAAACAAAUAAUAAGGGAAAAGAUAAUCCUUUCAAAUCUAUCAAGGACAAAACCACGAGUAAUUAUUGAUUUUUGACCUUCUAUACAUGUUAAAAACUUUUUAGACUUUAUUUAUAGUAUUUUUUGCAAAUUACGAGACUAAAUAUUGCAGUUUAAAACGAGUUAAGUUAUUAGUGAUUCAACGAAACAAUAGAAAACAAAUGAUCAUCUAUCAACUUAUUUGAAUAUAAUCCAUGAUAUGUGCUACAUCACCGUCUUCCUUUGUAUUGUCUCCAUAUCUUUAUCAACAACCUUCGUAUAUAGAUUCGGCGUUAUAUGUUGUUGUGUUGUAGUGGUUUUUUCUCUUCCAUCAUAAACAUAUACUAUGUAUACUAUAUGAUUUACACAUAGUGAUUAUUAGCGAGAUAUUUUACGAUCUAUCAGGUAACGAUUGGAUGUAAAAGUAACAACACGAAGAAUAAAUUAUGUUCGCGAGAAAAUAUCUAGUUUUGAUUUUAGUAAACGUGUACCGGCUAGUUCACGACCAGAAUAAUAGUUGUUUAUGAUCAAGUGAAAAUUUAAUGGUCAAAUAAAAAACUGUUAUUCGAGCCUUGAAUCAUUUUGAGUAAAUAUCAAAAAAUAAAAGCCAUAUAUAAAACGCUUCCAAAAUGCCCCCAUUAUUUUUAUAAAAUCGACAACUUUUGAGCGCCAAACAUGGAAUGGAAAUGAAAAUGCAGUUACCAAACUGUGAGAAAACCAUGCCAAUUUCUUCGCUUCAAUGCAACCCCUCUUACCAUGUCUAUGUGAGAGAAUGAACACGGUCCAAAUUUUCUUGAUGGAGAGAGAUUGGAUUGGUUCUUCGCUCUAAUCUUUGUAAGAAAAGAUUGAAAAACACCAAUAAAAAAAAUGGCGCAGGCACAACCAGAAGAAAAAUUGCAGGAAAUAAGAGACAAAGAAGCAUCCAGGAAGGAAGAAAAAAGGGAAAUUUCCAGUUCUCCUUCUUUUAAAUUCAAUGCACACGCACCUGAAUUCGUCCCUAGUUCGCACACCCAGAUUCCGGUUUCCGGUUAUUUUUAUCCAUGCUUUAACUAUCUGGGUGUCGGCGGGAACGACGGCGGUGGUUCCGGUGAAUGGGUUUAUGUUGGUGGCAGCGAUCAAGAUCAACAAGUGCAAUUUUUCUCCAAUCCAGAUGUUGUGAUCCCCAACUAUUCGAAGAAUGUCCUCACUGAGGAUCUUCAACAAAAAAUCAUCAAACAGGUCAUUUUUCUUGUUUUUCAGAAUUAAAUAUCCAUUAAUCCGAAUUCAGAAUAAAUUUCCCAAAUAAGGGUGUUUAAUUUUGUCUUCAAAAUGAGUUUUUAUCGCAUCCCUAACAGGUGGAGUAUCAAUUUAGUGGCCUGAGCCUGCUUGCAAACGAAUCCCUGGUGAAACACAUUAACAAGGACCCUGAAGGCUAUGGUGAGCUUUUACACCAUUCGUUUUUAUCCAUUUAAUCGUUUUUUAUUUUGUGGAUCUUGUUAAUAUAGCAUCAAGAAAACGAAUAUGUGAUCUAUGAAUAUUUCCUUGUGUAACAGUUCCUAUAUCUGUUAUUGCAUCUAUGAAGAAAAUCAAAUCUUGCAUUACAAAUAAUCAUCUUCUUGCUCAAGCUCUUUGCUCAUCUUCAAAGUUGGUAUGUUCUUUGACAUUUGAACAAUUACAAUUUACAAUCGGUUCUUCAUCGGUCUAAUUGUGUCCUUGUUAGGUUGUAAGCAAUGAUGGCAAAAAAGUUAGGCGUAAACACCCCUUCACGGAAAAAGACAAAGAAGAGCUUCAGGUUACUCAACUAAACUUGCAUACUAAUGCUUAGGUUGUCCUGCAUUUGACGUGCAUUGACAGUGAGACAAAAGUUGUUGUCUCUUGUUCUGUACUGUCCAGUCUUGUCCUGUUCUGUGUAACAAAUGCAACAUUAUCAAUCAUCUUGCAAAUUUUUUAGGACUUGAAUCAAUGUUUCUUUUUUCCAUGUAGUCUCGCACCGUGGUUGCAGAGAAUCUUCCCGAAGAUCAUUCUCAUCAAAAUCUUGAGAAAAUCUUUAAUGUCGUGAGAAGGUAGAAUUUGGAACCCAUUUUUGAUUUCAAGUUUCAUCCGAUUAAUUUUAUAAAUUGUUGAAUGAGUUUGCUUAUUGUAUAGUGUGAAAGCCAUACGUAUUUGCCAUCCACCAGAGCCUAAUUCCUCACGUUCUAGAGGUGAUUAUGUUUUUAGCAACAAGGUAUUAUCAACCUAUUAUUUACUUCAUUUGAUCUUUUGUUAUGUUAUUUACUUAAUUAAACAUGCUUUAUUUUUGCUUUAAAGCUUCAUGCUUUGGUAGAGUACGAAACUGCAGAAAUGGCUGAGAAAGCGGUACGUUUCUACUAUAAUACUACGUUUCUAUUAUAAUACUAUUGAAUAUUCAACACUAGGACUGGACUGACCGGAUUGGAUAAUCUUUUUAGGGUUUUUUUCAAUGAUAAGUCCAUUUCCGAUCCCACCUUCUUUCACCUUUUCGAAUAGGACAAAAAGUUGCACUUUUUGUCUUAUUGAUAUCAGUCUGGAGUCCUAGGUACAUUUUGUUUUGUCUUGUAACGUGUGUAUCAAACAAAUUUUAAGAAGUUGUGUUUUCAGGUUGAAAAGUUGAAUGACGAAAGGAAUUGGCGAAAAGGGCUAAGAGUUAGGUUGCUGCUUCGUCGUUCUGUAUGUGAUAUACACUUCUUUUUAUUUAAAUAUCGAUUUACUCUUUAUAAAGUUUAUGCAAAUCUUAUGAUUUAAAUGUACAGCCAAAGUCUGUAUUGAAGAGCAGGAAGUCAGAGUUUGAUGGAAUACUUGACGAUGAUAAUGAUGAACCAUUCGAUUCGCCUGAAGAAUCCUCUCCAACUAUCUUCACUGAAACUGUUGUCGAUAAUAACGUAAGCCCAUAAACACUGUCACUGUCACUAUCAUUGACAGUGUUAUCAUUGUCAUUGUCACUUCGUUAACGUUAAUAUUUAUAUAUGCUGAUGUUGAUUCUGAUACUGAUAGGCUGAAGAGGGUUCGAAGAAAGGAUGGGCACGAUUACGUGGGAAGUCAAAGAUACGAACCCCGACACAUAACGGACGUGGGGUUCUUUCAGGGUCGCCACAAUCAAGUGGGUCAGCCCAUUCCGAAACAUCAUCACCUAAAUUGAGUCCAAAAGGGCCAAGAAUGCCAGAUGGAACAAGGGGUUUUACCAUGGGAAGAGGGAAGCCAAUGUCUCCUCAUGCUCUAACUAGCACACCAUAAGUGUUGUUUUAAAUUUUGUAAGGUUAGUUCUAUAUAGUUGAUGCUAGUUUUUUAUUCCCCAAACAUCAAACUAUAGGAGGUUUUCUUUUUAUUUCUUUUUUUUUUUCCUUUUUUUAAUUUUGUAUUUGUAAUAAUUUGCUGUUUUGAUGAAUUCCUUUUGUAUAUUUAUGAUUUAAGAGUGUGAUUGUGUUUGUUUCCUGGUAACAUGCUUGUCUGAUAUUGUAUUUUAUAUAUAUUUAUUUUAUUGAUGUUACAUUAGCGAUACAAUAAAAUACUCCCUGACAAGGGUGUAAACAAGUGGAGUCGAGCUCAACCUCGAGCUCGAGAUUAAGUAGUCUCAGGUUCGGCUCGUUUAAAAUUCAUGGGGCUCAAACUCGAGCUUACUUUUCAAAGUUUGAGCUCGACUUGUGGAUGAAUUAAAAUGCUCGUGCUCGGCUUGCGGUCGAACGCAAGAAUUAAAAUGCUCGAGUUCGGCUUGGGCUCGACUUGUUGUUAGACGAACCUAAACGAGUCUAAGCUCAACUUGGUUAAUAGUCAAAUAAAUAUCAAGCUCGUUUUUGUUUUUAAGCUAAUUAAAAAACUUGUUUUGAUAUUUAUUUAUUUAAUUAUAAUUUAAUAUAAAAUUAAAACUAAUAUUAUAUACAUAUACAUAGGUUUGUUUACGCUAGCGACCAUAAUCGAGCUCAACAGAUGAAACUCAAGCUGGAGUUCAUGAACCUGAAACUAAGCUCGAGCUCAUUCAACUCGUGCUCAAGUCAAGUUUUUUACGAAUCGAUCCCGAAUAGCUCAGCUAAAAGAUAACAGUUUCUAUGUCUUAAAAAAUAUAUAUUUUUUCAAACAAUUUCUAUUAAAAAUUUUGUUCUAUUGUAACAGUGGUUCUAGAUGAUUGCUAUAAUUUAAAAACUAGAAAAACAUAAUUAGAUAAUCAUAUGAUUGAAGUUAUGAAUAAUCAUUUAAAUUUAUAUAAAUUAUCUUAAUAAAAACACUUUCAUAUGAUAAAUCUUUACUAUUGAACCUAAAACCAAACACAGAUUUCUUUUCUACCACACAUUACGAAACUGAUCAAACAGUAAUACUUACUUUCUUAGUAAAACCUUAUUUUUUUAAUUUUUUGCUGAAAUGUAUUAUGUAUAUAGAAUGUCAAAGUUUCAUUAUUAAACAAACAUGGCCCAUUAGCUCAGUUGGUUAGAGCGUCGUGCUAAUAACGCGAAGGUCGCAGGUUCGAGACCUGCAUGGGCCAUAUGUAACACUUUUUAUUCAUAAUUCUAUUUUGAAGUCCAAAACUGCCUUCAGUCUUUUCUUUCUUUUCCAUCCCUAAACACAAACAUCAUACCUUUCCUUUCUAAAAAUCAUUUUUUUUUAAGUUGAGACCUGCAUUGGCCAAAUAUAACAUUUUUUAUUCAUAAUUUCUAUUUUGAAGUCAAAAAUUAUAGCCGUAUAGUUAUAGGCACAUCAGCUUUUUCUUUCUUUUCCAUCCCUAAACACAAAAUUGUAUCUUUCUAAAAAUCAUUUUUUUAAAUAAAAUAACUACCAAAGUUUAAAAAAAAGUAAUUCAACAAAUAUAAAACAAAAACUUAAAAUCAGUAGUAAUUAUCUAUCUAUACAGUUUUAAUUUUUACGUCUUUUACCAUAAAAUUUCUGAAAAUAAACAAAAUAUGUUUUUAUCGGACGAUUGUUGUAAAAUUAUACGUUUUCAUAUACCAUUUGCAUAAAUAAAAACAUAUACCAUUAUACCCCUAUAUAAAAUGGACAACUACUACUACAAACAUAUCGCACAAGGGAUUGUUGAUUGUGGUUCAUCGGUUACACACAAGUAGAGGUGUGCAUUUACUGGUUUUGAAUGAGUUUCUGUUUUUCAAAAACCUAUCCGGUUUUAAGCAAUUUUUUUAGAUCGGUUUCGGUUAUAGUCGGCUUGUUUUGUCAAUUAAAACUAGGCCUGACAAUGGAGCGGGUUUUGACCCUGAUCCGAUCCAAACCCUUAACAAUUAUACGGGUUUGGAGCAUAGUUUUUGAUCUAUUUACCCGUUAACGACCCGUACCCUCUAACCCUUUUAUUAAAAGGGUCGGGUAUGGAUCAUCACCGAUCCGCUCCAUUUAUAACCCGCCCCAUAUAAAUUUUAGAAUUAUACAUUUAUAUUUUAUAUUUCCUAAGUUUUACUUUAAAUUCCAAUCGAAAGUCCAAAGACUAAACUGGUUUUACAUAGGACUCGAUGACUCAACUUCUAGACUUCCAGUCUUCUCCCAAUAAUCAUGAUAUCAUUUCAUUUAUAUUUCAUCAUAUAAUAAUCAAUUUCAUUUAUAAAUCAAUAAAUUCAUUUAUCAAUCGGAAUAAAGUUUGUAAUUGCUAUUCUCUGUCAAUGCAAUCGAGGGUGAAAAACCAAUCUGAAGUAACUACAAUAAUGAUUUUAAUUCUAAUCGAAACUCUUGGAGUACACAAUGUGUUUUCUAAAUCAAUAUUUGUUCUAUUUAACAAAUGUGAUUUUAUGAUUUAAGUAAAAUGAGUUUGAUUAUUCAAAAAACCUACGGGUUACGGGGCGGGUUUGGAUAUCUGCUGAUUCGGUGGAUAAGGGUAUGGGUUUGAUUAUUCAAAACCCUGCGGGUUACGGAGCGGGUUUGGAUCGGGUUUUGGAAUUUGUUAAAAGGGUUUGGAUUAAGGUCGAUUCGCUCCAAACACGCCCCAUUGUCAGGUCUAAUUAAAACACCGGUUCGGUUCAAUUAUAGUAGAAAACUGGUAAAAAUCUGAUUUUUGUUAAAACCUAUUCCUAACCGACUGUUCAGUUUUAGUUGAACCGGUUAUUAAAAAACAGUUUAAAAUUCUUAAUUUCUCAAAUCUGAUUUGCAAAAUUAAAAAAAAAAACAUUUUUGGGAUUUUUUGAAAAAACAUCAUAAAUGGUCCCUGUGGUUUCCCAAAUCUGAAGUUUAGUCUCUGUGGUUUAAAAACGUCAUAGAUGGUCCCUGUGCUUUGAAAACUUUUGACGAUUAGUCCUUAUUGCUAACUCCGUUAAAUUUGUCCGUUAACUAAAGGGCAUUUUCGUCUUUUCACGAUCACAGGGACCAUUUAUGAAGUUUUUCUCUUAUUUAAUAUAAUAAUUAUUAUUUAAUAUUAAAGGUAUCUCUCUCUCUCUCUCUCUCUCUCUCUCUCUCUCUCUCUCCAUGACCACCAUCAACCUCCCAAAAUCCACACAACCAUCGUCACCUUCUACCAUCAUGAAUCACCUUAUUCCUCCAUUCACCAUCACCGAACACCGUUCCCAACUCCACAAUCUCCAUUCCAACCACCGUUUCACCAAGACCCACCUUCACCAUUUCACCACCAUGACCACCAAAACCACCACCCAUCACCACCCUUAUUUCCUCAAAACUUCCAGCCACCUUACCCUACAAUCAUACUGUCACAACUAGAAAAUUUUGUGCCUUGUAACUACAACACUUAUGUCAACUAUGAAUCAAAAACAUGAAAGCAUGCAUGAUGCUUACUCUAUGACAACAGAAUUUCAAUCAAACACCUCAUACAAGCAUUACAAAUAGUCAACAAGCAAUUGGAAACCCUAGAAGUUCNGGUGACUGUGUUUGUCAAAUGGAUUCUGAGAAUCGAAGGGGGAGGGGUCUGAUUUCUAAUUUGAUACUAUUUUUAAUUACUUGGCUGUCUCUCUCUGGUAUGUUUAAUGGAAUCAACCACCGCGCUUCUCCAAUUAUCCCUCUCACCGUUGAUGUGAAACCUCGUCGAUCUAACCCUUGUCGGUGUUUCAAGGUCCGGUUUUGUCUAUCUAACCCUUAUCGGAGUUGCCUAUUAAAGAAAGCCCAAGCACCGCCGGACCCACACCGACGAUGAACAGAUUUGAAAGGGGUUGACGAUUGGAAGUCAACUAAAUGGAAAAGAGUUGACGACUCAGAUUUGUUGGAGAGGGAGAAAUCAACAUCGAUCUAGCAGUUGUUGAGCAUGGUGGGCUGGGUACGGUGGGGCGUUUGAUUUACCACGAUGGGUGUAGUCGGUAGUUGACGAAUCAUGGCAAUAUGAAAGCUUUCAACUUUUUGUACACUGUGUGAGAGAGGGAAACAAAGGAGGGGGAAGCAGGUGUCACACACAGAGAGAGAGAGAGAGAGAGAGAGAGAGAAAGAGAGAGAGAGAGAGAUCUUUGUAAAUAAGAGAAAAACUUCAUAAAUGGUCCCUGUGAUCGUGAAAAGACGAAAAUGCCCUUUAGUUAACGGACAAAUUUAACAGAGUUAGUAAUAAGGACCAAUCGUCAAAAGUUUUUAAAGCACAGAGACCAUCUAUGACGUUUUUAAACCACAUGGAGUAAACUUUAGAUUUUGGGAAACCACAGGGACCAUUUAUGAUGUUUUUUCGACUUUUUUUGUGGAUUUUUUUUUUCAAAGAAUAUUUCUACAGCAAAAACGGUGUAAAAUUAGAGUUUUAAGAAAGAUAAAAAGAAAAAAUUGUUGUAUAUAUGCGGACGGCUCAAAAAGGUUUUUUCAUAGGCCAAAAUGACUUUUUCGCAGCCCAUCUACCGAUUUAACAAGUACUACCAAUUACCAAAUCAUGGUUAUUUUUUAUAUUUGAUUAAUUUUUUAUUAUUUUUUAAAAAGUGGUAAAUGAGAUUAUCCUAUUUCAGUCUUGUUGUAUUUAAGGAUAUACUAAUUGAAUUGAUAUAGAAGAUAAAUGCAAAUAAAAGAGUUUUUGCAUUAUAUUUAUAAAGAUGACUACUUAUACUUUUUUGGAAGUUGCUCAUGCCAUAUUAGCUAAGAGUUGAGGGUGAAUUGCAUAAAUAAAGUUUAAGUUCAAAAAUUACACAUUCAAAAUAUUGUUAGUGUUAUUUGAAAGUAAAAUCUACAAGCUAGCAUAACAUAGAUAUAAUAAAUCACGAAUUUCAAGCAUACAAAAUAAACUUGGCAAAAAUAAUUUUAGAAUUUAACUUAGAUUCGGAAAUCCUGCUAUAAAAUUAAGCCAUAUGAGAAACUAGCAAAAGGCAAGAAGCUCAUGGUCACUUUGAAUAGUGGCCAUGUCUUGCUUUCCCAAACACACAAGUGCUUCAAUACCAUCUCUGUUUGGAGUAUCCAUGAGAAUAAAACUAUUCUUCCUUAAAUUUCCAGCAAUGGUUACUUUUACAGGCUUUCCCCACCCAAAAUCAAUCUCAUAUCCAGGAAACCCACACAUGCUUGAACACAUAUACAUGUGAUCAUCAUUCAUUUUGAUUUCUUCUAAAUCAGCUUGGCUAAAAAGAUCAAACACGGUUUCAAUAUUUCUUAUGCCUAGAAGCUCCAACUUUUUCACCUUCAGGUCAUUGAUGAAUGACUCUGCACUGAUUUCACUUUCGUUAUUUGUUUCCAUCUCAAUUGCCAUAGCGAAAUUUCCUAUGCUCUUUUCAGGCAUCGACUCAAUCAUUAUGUUUCUUAAGUUUAAUGCAUGGUAAACUCCAGUGGGUUUGAAGGAGCCUGAGUUAUUCUUAGUAGCUGCUUCCACUGCACACUUGUAAAGUAGCCAACUCAAAACUUCAACACGAGUAGCGUUUGUGAUGGGUUCAACACAUUCUGAUGUUAUGGCUUUGACUUUGAGUUUAAGCUCGUUUAUCUUUGAGUUAGGGAACACGAAACUCCUUGUGACACAGUCCUUCGAUUCAUAGUCAAGCGAAUCUCCAGUAUAAUUCAAUUUCAUGGAUUCAACAGAAAUGAACUUGGGGUCAACUAGAACUUCAUGUUCAUGCUUAUCGGAGCAAAACCGUGUCGUUGUAGCCCAAUCGUUUAUAAAUUGAACCAAACUGCUUCCAUCUGCUAUCUUGUGGGACAUCGACACUGCAACCGCUACUCCACCGCAUUCAAAAUGGUUGACCUGAACUGCAAGUGGGAUGAUCACUUCUUCGUUUUCAAGAUCAUCGUCUCUACUGUUUGAGUUGCAAUAUACUAGACCAUGUGGAAAGAAUUGAUCAAGAUCUUCAUGCUGUGAGUUUUUAAGGAAAUCCAAAAGUGUGCUAUCGAUUGAUGCUUCAAGAAAUUCAGCUCCAUUGCCGUUGCAAUCUACAAAAACUGGUGCGACUUUGGGUAGCCUACCAGCAAAAGGGUAGUACUUUGUUAAUGUUUGAGACAAUGAGUUCUUGAGGUCAAGCGUUUUAUCAUGGGAACUACGAUAAAUGCUCGUGUUAGGGUAGAAUGCAACCAUCGGCAUAUAUGUAUGCGGAAUGAUUUGAUCAAUCACUGAAAGAUUGUAAGUUUUGAGGUGAGAAGGUGUCGGAGAAGAGGGUUUGAUGAUUUCUCUACAGACGAUUGUGUGAAGCUGCCUUCUAGCAAAUCUUACCAGGCUACGUAUCAUCAUCGAUCGUCUUUACAUAAAAAAAAAGGUGGAGGGUUUUAACCUUAUAGAUACAUGCACACACACAUAAUUAGCCGUUUUCAAUCGUGGGAAUCUAGUUGAGACAAAUUAUGAAGACAAUCAUCAUGAUAAAACUCUAGACUAAUAUAUAUUGUAAAUUAAUAAAAUUCAGCCUGCACAAGAGAAAAUGAAAAGUUGCCGUCAAAUAUUUGUACAUUAAUGCGUGAAAAACUAUGAUCAUGUCAUAUCCAUAUUAAAAUUCUUUAGAUAUAACCUAAUAUCUAUGCAAACUUUCCAAUCGGCCGUGAAUUUCAUUUAAUUGAGAUCGAUUAAAACAAAUUUAAUUUGUCCAUCUUGGAGCUUAGAUUUCGGAUAUGUGGACGUGGGCUCUACAGUGGUUCGGUUUUGGCUUUGGACCCAAGUUGACCUUUCCCCGAUCUACUUGCUGCAGCACUGCACUCUCCUUGGCAACGGCCCAUUGUCGGAAAAAGAAAAAGGGUGGCUUAUGUGUAGAUCGGAGUCGUUUACUUGGCUAAAAUAUGGUGGAAAGUUUUAAAACACUCAACGAAAUUCUUGAGGAUCCUUUUAAUUUUUCAUUUCCCUGGUGUUCUAAAAAGAAGUAGAGCUAAAUAUUAAAACCAUAUUCUAUAUGAAUUAAGACAGUUUCGCAUCAUGACAACUUUUUUUUGUUACAAGUUCCAAGAUUAUCUUAUAGAACACUAAUAGAAAAAAAGUUUUUAAUGACAUUCAAAUUACGGCAUAUGAGAAUUUUAUGACAAACAAAAACAUAUAAAAACAAAGUCAUCUUUUGUGAAAUCUAAGGAUUUAUGACAAGCAUAAUUGUCUCUUGUACAAUUAUGUAAUCUUUUGCAAACAUUUACAACAUACAAAAAACUGUAAUCGUUUAAAAUUGUGUCGUGUUUUAGUGUCAUAAUUGAUAUUACCAUAUUUAUACAUAUUUUAGACAUUAUUUUAAUACAUUUUAAGUUAUAUUUUGAUUAAAUGCAAAGAUAUUUAAUACUUAUUAAGUUAAAUUACAUUUUGCAGCCAAAAAAGACAUUCUUGAGGAAAAAUAACCAAAACUGACAAACGCUGGACCCUGGAAGGAUUGGAGCCGAGUUGAGAGUUUAAUUGUAACAUCUAUAAAAUUUAUGUAAAAUUUAAACUUUUUGAACGUUUCAAAACCAUCCAUUGUUUACAAAUUGUUUUCAAAAUGUUCCAAUAUUAGAGUUUUCCCAGAAAUCACAACACGAAAAACAAGGAGGUGCACAAUCAAGCUUUCGCCUUCCCGAGAUCAUCUGAUGUACCUGAAAUAAAAUCCACAACUAUAAGCUAGAAGCUUAGUGUGUUCCCCCAAAAUACCAAUGCCAUAUAACCGAACAAUAUCAUAAACAAACAGUAUGCAUAUAAAGUCUUCAGUAUGACUGGACCGCCUCACCGGGCCUUCAGUCUAUCUGGCCCACUUUCAAAACCUUCAGCAUGUCUAGACCGCCUUACCAGGCCUUCAACCUGUCUGGACCAUUCUCCGGGCCUUCAGCCUAACUGGUACGCCCCGAUGGGCCUUCAGUCUAUCCGGGUUGCCUUGGGUUUGUUGACCUAAAGCACAAAGCAGGACCGCCUCAACCCACCCGCAAUCACAUCAUCACAUAGAUAUCAAAUGCUAGCUAGCACAUACAAUAAUCAUACAGGCCUAACAGAUCAUCGAUCAUGGCAUCAUCCUAUACACUAGGAUACAGAUUUAACAGAUCACUACACAUAGCAUCAUACUAUAACACCUAUAAAAAAUCAAGCCAAUUUAAAACUUUUUCAAACAUCAAAAAGCCAUUAGUUAUUACAAAAUGUUUUCAAAAUAGUUUCAUAUCAGAGUAUCCCAGAAACCAUAAGUCCAAAACGUGAGGAUGUGUACGAUUACGCCUUCGCCUUGCCGAGACAUCUGAAUCACCUGAAACAAUAAACUGAAACCGUAAGCACAAAGCUUAGUGAGUUCCCCCAAAAUACCCAUACACACAACAAUACACAUAUAAUCAUAAACAACAUACUAUGGGUCCAAUCAACCAUUAGGUUGGAAUACCCCAGGCCCUCAACCAUCGGGUUGGAAUGCCAAUAUACUAUGGGUCCAAUCAACCAUCGGGUUGGAAUACCCUAGGCCCUCAACCAUCGGGUUGGAAUGCAACCAUACUAUGAGUCCAUUCAUCCUCGGGAUGGUAUACCCUCAGCCCACAACCAUCGGGUUGGAAUGCCCACAUACUACGAGUCCAAUCAUCCUCAGGAUGGAAUACUCACGGCCCACAACCAUCGGGUUGGAAUGCCCACAUACUACGACUCCAAUCAUCCUUGGGAUGGAAUACUCAUGGCCCACAACCAUCGAGUUGGAAUGCCCACAUACUACGAGUCCAAUCAUCCUCGGGAUGGAAUACUCACGGCCCACAACCAUCGGGUUGGACCAUUGGAAUGCCCAAGUCUGUUGGCUCUCGCGCAAAGCAGAUAAGCCUCAACCACUAACCAAACAUGUACACAUAUAACAGAUAAUUACACAACAGUCUAUAGACAGAAAAACCGAUCUAACAGAUCAUAACAUCAUAAUAACAUCCUAUGUACCAGGAUACCGAUCUAACAAAUCGUAAUAGCAUAAUAUCAUCUUAUCUACCAGAAUACUGAUCUAACAGAUCAUACGAUACUCGAGCAUAUAGCAUAUCAGGAUAAUAAUCCAAAAAGGGAUGACCUUGGUGCCUUAGACCCUUGAGUAUAGUGAGGAAAACUCACCUCACACUCCUGAAGUCCCGCAGGCAAAAACCCUAGCUGUUGGAUGACAAAUUCCCGAACUGUCAACAUCAAACAACACCUAAUUAGUAAUUGGGUUCCAAUACAUAAUUGGGAGAGUAGGAAAAGUUUCGUAUCAACUUGAACUCCCACCCAAGUUGAAGAUUCAUCUAGUUUCCCACGUCAGCAUGCUCAAGCCGUAUCAUGAAGACUCAGAAGAUCCCUAACAAGGGAUAUCAAAGCGCGCACUAACAACGGUCGUUAUGUCCUUCGACCGCGAGAUUGAGGAGAUACUUUCGGAACGAACUAUAUGAAAGGGGGAAUGUCGAGAUUCAAAGAAUACUUAAUCAAGGGAGGAAUUUACCGAAUAGCGAGGCAAGUUGGGAGUCCGAAUACUUACUAUGGCAAUUUCAAAAUGAGACCAAGAGAUACCGAGAUGAAAAUGUGACGAGGACGUCACGAAAAUAGGUUGGGGAGAAUGUAACGACCUGCCUUAUUUAGAUAUUUUCUCUAAUUAUUUUUUCUCUAGAAUAGUCCUUUCUAGAUAAAUUCUAGAAGUUAUCUAGAAACUCCAUGGAAGGCUCAUGAAGAGACAUCUUCUAGAAACAUUCUAGAAGAUGUCCCUUAGUUCCUAGUAGUUCUUGCCUCUUGUAUAAAUAGGGCUCUCCCAUUUCAUUUCUCUUCACCUUGUAAUUGAGUUGAGUUCUCUAGAGCAAUAAAGAGCUUUCGUAUGUUGAAUUACUUCCUUCUUUCCUUGUUCUUAUGCUGAAGUUUCGAGUUAGGCUGACUUAGUUUGAGAACUAAGUGCCGCACGGUGAGCUUGAAGAUUAAGUUCGUGACAAAUUGCUUCUAGAUGUUCAAGAUCGAGGCUUGCAGAUUCCUUAUGGUUGCUUUGGUUUCGUUGUGACGCCUCUCGGAUGCCUCGACAAAUUAAGCUAAAAUAGCUACGAGAUCUGGUUUGUUUUCUUGCCAACUUUCCUCUUAUUGUUUUUUUUGUACCCUUUAUAUAUCUUCCACUCCUUUUGGUUGCCUCCAAUCCAUAUCCUAUUUGUCCCCGCUCAAAUCUUUAGUUAAAUAUGGACCGCUACAAUUGUCAUAAUCGAAUUAUAUUUCUUUUUAGUUUUUUUUAAUCUUUUUAUAAUAUAAUCCUGAUUAUAAAUAUUGUUUUUUGAAUUUUUAGUGAUCAUAACAAUACUCGAGGAAGAAUGUAACAUCCAUAACAAUCGUGACAAAUUUGAACUUUUUAAAACCAAUCAGAAAUCAUAUUUGUUUACAACAUAGUUAUCAAAAUGUGUUUAAUAUCAGAUUUUUCCCAAAAUCAUAGAACAAGACACAAGGAGGUGCACGAUCACGCCUUCGCCUUUCCGCGAUCAUCUGAGGUACCUGAAGCAUAAUCCAAAACUGUAAUCCCAAAGCUUAGUGAGUUCCGCCAAAGUACCAACACAACAUAAUAAUCAUAAUAAAACAAAAAAAACAUCAUGCAUACAGAACCUUCAGUAUGAUUGGACCGCCUCACCGGGCCUUCAACCUACCUGGACCGUUCUCCGGGUCUUUGGCCUAACUGGUACGCCCUCCUGGCCUGCAGUCUAUCCGGGCCACCUUAGGUCUAUUGGCCUUCAGCACAAAGUGGGACCGCCUCAACCCAACCACACAUACACAAUGUUGACACACAUAUAUAACAGACAAGCAUACAAAUAACCAGCCCAUAACCAAACAAACAGAUCUUACAGAUCACUAAGCAUUACAUCAUCCUAUCUACCAGGAUAUAUAUCUAAUGGAUCACUACAGUACUCAAUCAUACGAUAAACCAGGAUAACAAUCCAAAGGGUCGGCCUUGGUGCCUUGGACCCGUAAGUACAGUGAGGAAGACUCACCUCGCAAACUGAAUAGAACUGAUGAGGCCCAACUCUGAAUCUCAGCUCCCUACUAGAUACCUAACUCCAUCAAAUGACCAAUUUCUAUAAGAAUUCCAAAAUAUCCUCAAGGUCAAACUUGGUCAAAGUUCAAGUUCAAUAGUCCAUGUUAACCUAACACGCCGUGUUUCGUCAGCGUUCAUACGGUUGGGAAAACCCCAGCCAACACGCCGUGUUUGACCGAGUUUCAACAACUUAAUACAUUCAGCUGUUUUCUUCGAUUCCAAGAACUCCAAAGCUCCGAUCUAGACCAAAAUGCUAUUAAGAAGGAUAAAGUUUCCAACUUUAUCCUCUAGGACUUCAAAAAGGGUCUAAAAACCCAACCAUAAGGCUUGUAGGUACAAGGGCUUAAGGAAUAAGUGCUAAAUCCUUAGAGUAUGAAUCCCAUCCUUUCCAGAAGAGAUUCUAGCACCAAAAUCAUCCUAAAAGUCGGUGCUUUAUAGACAUGCAUGUCUUGAACCCAUAUUAGGUCAAAAAUGGGGAUUUAGGACCUAAUCUCCAUACAUGGCAUCAAAACUCAACUAUAGGCCAGAUUCAAGACUCUACUAGGUCACCUUGACCUGGAGAUUCAUAAAGUUGCUAACUUUAUGAGAUCUAACCAUUCCAAUAUUCAAGAGUAUGAAGCUAAAGGGAAAAAACUCAAGAUAUAGCAAGAUGGAAGGAUAAAAACUGGAUAUUGGACACUUAUAAAAGUCCAGAAGAGUGCCAACUGAAAGAUGAGGGCUUGCUUGUUGAAUCCUUGCUUCCUUCUUCCAACUUUUUCCUUUUUUGGCUUCCAAAAGCACCACACUAGCUCACAAAUGGAGGGAAGGAUGAUUAGAGUUUUAAAUGAUCGAUUGGGGAAACGGAGGCUAAUAAAAGGCCAACUCUUGGAACUUAAGGAGAUUAUAUAGGGUGCAAAACCCUAAAAAUUAGGGUUUUCUCAUCCAGCCGCCAACACAUCGUGUUCGUCCAUGAAAAUACGCGGCCCAAAAGUUCUCAACACAAUGUGUUGAGGCUUCACCACGUUGUGUUCCAAGGGAAAUCAUGCAUAAAUGGAAUAAAUUUCAUACCUGGAAAUCGACAUGUUACAAAGAAGCCCCGACUAACUCUGUGCCAAGAGCCACAUUGCUUUUAAUUUUGUAUGGAAAUAUGUGCCUUUCCAAAUAGCAGUGAAAAUUAUUUUUGAAUUGGAUGACAUUGCUACGAAUAGGAGUGUUGUUGUUGCAGUUUAUAUAAGGUUGAAAAUGAUUUUGACUUCUUCAUUUGCGUAUUAUAGGUAGGCAGUUUUCAUUGGUUGAUUAUGGACUUAUUUUGUAGCAUUUUCUGAUGGUUCGUGUAAUCCACGUAAAGUUAAACUUCAAUUGAGCGAAAAUUGUGCGGAUAAUAGUCCGAAAAAAUGCAUAUUUGAACAAUUUCCCAUUUUCUAUCCCAUUUUUACUGUGGAAAAUAUGGUAAAAGGUUCUUAGUGACAUGGUUAAACUACAUAGAAUUUUGGGCUUUUUCAAUCAAAGUUCAAAGCAUUUAGUAAUGCGUUGAAGCUUUGAAUUAGUAGGGUUUUUGCCAACACGAUUCUUGGAUAUUCUCAUGUUUCCGAAAAUAGUUUACAUUUUCAAAGUUCUGAUUUCUCACACUUGGAAACCUUUUAAUAAUUAGCUUAGGCACCUGAUGUAUAGAACAUAAUUCAUGUGCAUACGUGUAGUCUUUUGAGAACGUUAUCUCAUUUUUUAUAUGCAUCAUGCUUUUUAGUUUAAAUUCUCCUCAUAAUUGUCCUACUUGAGACUUUUUAUGAAGUCGACUAAACUCCACCCUAUUUCAUAUUAGCGUAUUUCUUUUUAAUGAUUAUCUACAUCAAAUUUCGUUUUUAUCCUGAAAAUGUCAAUUUUCUUUGAAACGAUGACGAUUUUUUUUUAUCUUAUUUGCGCUUUAACCUAAUCUCCCAAAGCAGCUGAACAACAAGAACCCUAGAUCGUAUUACACCAAUCACAUCUUGAAGCACCUAAAAAAAUUCUUGACAUUUGCCUUGAGUUCGACCUAAAUUCUCUGCCUCAACUCGAAAUCGACAAGUCCCAUCUACAUCAAAUUUCGCUUUUAUCCUGAAAAUUUUAAUUUUUUUUGAAACGAUGACUAUUUUUUUUAUUUUAGAGUAAAUUACACGAAUUGUCCCUAGUCUAAAUAUCAAAUUGCGCGUUCAGUCCGUAUUUUCAAAAAUUAACUCGGACCGUCCCUCGUUUGGUUAAAAAUUGCACACUUCAUCAUUCAUUAGUUUAAAUUUGCAUGCUUCAUCCCUUAUGAGAUAUAAAAUAACUAUUAUACCCUUUUGUAUUUCUUUUCCAAUUAAUUUAAUGUUAUUGUUAUCAUUAUUAAUUUAAAAAUUAAAAAAAUCAUGCCCUACUUAAUACCUAACCCCAACCUACCCACCUCAGGCUCACCCCACCCCACACCUUCCUUUUGACCAAUCUCUCUUCUCCAUCUUCUCUAAAAUCUUUAAGAAUGGUCGAUCUACUAGUUCUAGACAACCACCACCGGAGCACAUCCCCUGAUGUCAAAAUCUGACCAUUGGUUCUUUGUCGGGGCUGUGGCCUCUUUCCCAAAAAAUCCGACUACUGGAUAGGACCUCCUCCGGAAACUCUUCCCAAUCUCCUCACAUCAAGAAAUCCAAGCCUUGGCCGACGUCGACUGUCAUCGUUCUUUGAAUCUCAUCAGGGGAGGACCGUCGACGGAGAUGAUUUGGGUGGGAUUCGAUCUGAACCUGUUUCUCCUAUCUUAAUCACCAUUUUCUUUGAUCUUGUGUGAUGGCCUCCAAGAUGCAGGUUUCUCUUUCUUCAGGCGUGGGUCGUUGCUCUUUCUUCUCCGACCAUAUGCAGGUUUCGAUUUAUAGGUUCUGAUUAAUAAGUUUCAACUAUCGAUUUAGUUUAACCUGAACACGGGUAUCCUGUUUCACCAUGAUUUGGGAUCGUUUAACUCGUCUUCAGGGUUGCUAUGGCAAAACAUUGGUGUGAUGAGGAUGUUAGCGGUGACUUAUAGGAUUGGUGGUGGUGAACGUCGACAAUUCGAUUUUGUGUUUAUGCUAGUGCGUUAGAUAGAUAGAUAGAUAGAUAGAUAGAUAGAUAGAUUAAUGGUGGUGGUUAUUGGAAGAUCGAUAGAGAUGGAUCGCCUGCCACCUUUGUGCUCCCAUCUACACUCCUGGUCGUGGCCGGCGGACGUUAAUGGGGAUGUCGGUGGUGGGUCUUGGAAUGAAGUUCGAUUUCUACAAUAUCUUUUGUUUCAUUUCUUCUGUAAUACUCACAAACACUUCUUUUUUAUUACGGAUCUGCUAACAGAAAUUCAAUGUAUAUUCCUGAAUAAUCUCAUUUUUUCAAUUAUUCAAUUAUUCAAUUAUUUCAUUUUACCAAGUUCAAUGUUAGCAAGAUUAGUCAACAAGAUUCAAACAUUGAAAAAAAUAGUAAAUUAAUAAAAAAAAAUGCUACAUAAGAAAAAUAAAAGAACAUAUAAGAAGAAAUAUGCCCACCCCUAAAGGAAUAAGUUUUGAAAACCCCAACUUCUUUGUUUUGUGUCUAAAAAUUGAGUUAUAGUGGUAAUGGUAUUGACCGGUGGUAGUGUUGUUUCCCAUGGUGUUUGUUGGAAAUGGAGAGGAAGAUGAUAGGUUUAGGGGAAAGAAAGAUGAAGUUGGGAAAGGGAAGAGGAAUGAACCGAGGGAUAAAGGGUUGUGGGUAUGGAUAUUUUAUUGUUUUUUCUUUUUCUUUUUAAUAUAAAAAUAAUAAACAAAUAAAAGAAAAUGAAAAAAGAAAUAAAUAAGGGCAAAAUGGUCUUUUUAUGUCCGAAGGGAUGAAGCGUGUAAGCUUUAAACUAACAAGGAACGGUCUGAGUUAAUUUUUAAAAAUAAGGACUAAACAUGCAUUUUAACACUUACACGAAGGACGAUUCACAUAAUUCACUCUUUAUCUUAUUUAUGUUUUAACCUAAUCUCCGAGAUGAGCCGAAGAACAAAAACCUUAGAACCCUAAUCUCAGUGGGGGAGUCUAUGUAUUGGAAGUGGGAUGUGUGGACCCCACUUCUUUGUAAAUCUCACCAUAUAUACAUGUAUUAGGCUGAAAGGAGUCAAAGUGCCAAACAAACUCGCCAUGGUCGCUAACUCAUUUGGAACACCGCCCCCUAGCGCUCGCUAGGGGGCUCGCCAUGGAUCAUUCGCUUCCAGAUUAACGAGAUGUGAGAGAGUAUUUGUUUGGCUUGUGAUUGGAUGAAGGGUAUUUGAUAGGAUUGCAUGCCCAUUCCUCCGUUUUUGGCAGAUGGGAGGUGUCGAAGCUUUGAUUUUUGUUGCUCGUUUAGUAAAGAUAAAGAAUUUACAUAUUUGGUCCCCAAAGUUUCUACAACUUGGUAUUUUCUGUCCCAAAGUUUAAACAACUUGGUAUUUUUGUCCAAAAACAUAAACCUUUUUAUUUAGAUUAUGUUUUAAAUUAUAGUAAUCUUUUUUAUUUAAAUAUUAAUUUCUUGUAUUUAAAAAAAAUAGAAUUUUUGUAAUAUUAAAUGUUUGUGCAUUAAAAAAAUAUAAUUUAAUUAAAUUUGAAAAAAAAAAUAAAAAAAAUUGAAGUGAUAGGAGUGUAGCAUCAUUAUUAUUAUUAUUACUAGUUGUGUGAUCCGUAUCUUAUACGGGUUGGAUAAAACAAAAAAAAAAAUAUGAAGGUUUAAACAAAAAUUUAUUUAGAUUUGAAAUUUGAAAUUUAUAAUUUGAAUUUAAAAGAAAACAUAUUCAAUAGUAUAUGAGUUGUAAUAUUGUCAUUUAAUGGUUAUUUUCAAAUAAGACAAUUAUUAAUUGAGGUGUAAAUAUGAUGUGUUAAUUAAAAAAAGAUAAACAAUGAGAAAAUGACAUAUGGAAAAAACAUUUAUUCAAAAAUACCAAAAAAUGACAUGUGUCUAAGUUAAUGGAAGAGUGACAUUUGGCAAAAUUAUUUUCAUUUAUUAGGGAUUAUUAUAUUAUUAUAUUAUUAUUAUUUUAUUUUUUAUUUUUUAUUUUUUUAUUUUUUUAUUUUUUUUAAAGAAGUGGUCCACCCUUUGACUUUACUUUGACACCUACAUACUCUUGCAUUGCUCAAAUCGUAUUCCACUUUAUUUCUUCUUGUGUUCUUUCUUUCUUUCUCUCUUCAUUCUCUUCGACCUAGAGGGUGUUUGGCUUAGCUUUUUAAAUGACUUUUGACUUUAUCUUUUAGAAAAAGUCCCAAAAGAUGUUUGGUAAAGGGAAAAGGACUUUUGUAAAUGAUUUUUCCCAUAAAGUAAUUUGAGUCUUUUUGAAAAGUCACGAUUACCUGACUUUUCCCAACUUUUCACCAACUAAAAAUAUUAAAUUACCAAUAUACCCCUCAUCUAACCUAAACAUGUCUUUUUUUGUCAUUUUACAUGUAAAAGUUAAACUAAACACUUUAACUUUUGACUUUUUCCUUUCAAAAGCUAAUCCAAACACAUUUUAAAAAAUAACUUUUGUAAAAAGUUCUUUUACAAAAAGUCUUUUUACAAAAAGGACUUUUGCCCUACAAAAGCUAAGCCAAACACCCCCCUAGCUUUUGCCUCUAGUAAUAAUCACCAUUCUAUACAAUAAGAUCGGAAAAAGGAAUCGGAAAAAGGUUCACGUCGAAGGCCUGAGUGAGCCUCCGGCCUCUGCUGCCCCUGUUCUGUCAGUCUAGCUCGGUAUAUACUUUGAUUUUAUUUUUAGGGGAAAUCGAUUUUUCUUGGUUUGUAGGCUUUCAUUGUUGGUUUGUGGAAUUGUGGCUCUUUUUAUAGGUUGGAAAUCAAUUAUUUUGUGUUAUAUUGCUAUUUUUUGGAUUUUUGUUGGAUUAUUUGUCCACUGUUGUUGUUGGAGUAUAUUAAUAGCCUUCAAUUUUUUGGUGUGGUCCAUAUUGCAAGUUAUAUUAAUAUUGCCAUGAAUAAUAGAUUUUUGUUGGUAUAUUGGACAAAGUGCCUCCUGUGGGCAUUAUUUGAACACAUGAAAGGCUCAUGUUUCCUGUUAAUAGAUUGUUAAUUGUUUAGUUUUAUUACAUCCAUAAAUAAUAGAUUGUUAAUUGUUGAGUUUUAGUAUAUCAAUGAAUAAUUGAUUGUUAACUUUUAUUAACAGAUAAAUGGAAAGAUUUUUAAUAAGACGAAUAUCCACAGAUGGUGCAUCUUCAUAUGCAAAUGCCUCCAAUGAAUUUCCCCAACCUAGCUCUAUUCCAUCAGUGGUUGUUGAAAUUGUUUUGAGUGAACGGUAAACGGUCAACAGAUUGAAUUAUUGUAAUCUCUAACCAACCAAUGUACAUGUCAUUGUUCUUGAAAAAAUUCCGAUUUCUGAUAAUUGUUUCAACUUUAUACUUUAAAGUGAUUGUUCUAUCUAUGCUACUAAGUUCUUGAUUGUUUACUUUGUUUAAAGUGUAAACUGUAAUGUUCUUAUAUAUAAUGUUUAACCAUCAUACUGACUCUGUUCUUGUCUGUAAUGGUUGAAACUUGGAAUAUAUAGUCAGUGUUUGUUUCAUACAAUUCCCGACUUAAUUACUUAAGUAGCUUGUUGAGGUUUGCUAAAAACUGUUAGACAUUUGCAAUUUGCAAAUUUUGUAUGAGAAAUUGGAAAAAAAACUGGGUGCACCUACUGUCACAAAUUUCUGCGUCCACCCCUGCCAUAGAUGUUAUGUUUAAAGCUCCAUAUUUGCUACUAUAAUGUACUUGAUAGUUGACACUCAUUUUGUUUCAUCUUUCUAGGCUAAAUUUACUCCUACGUAUGGCUGAAACUGUUGCUACUAUGGUAGAAGCAGGAGGCAAAACAAAGGAGCAUUAUAGGAUCCAUUGAAGGAAAUAAUCAGCAGCAGGUUAUCCAAAAAUAUGGAUGAAGUCUAUCAAGUUUUGGAUAGUGCAAUAGAAAUGCUAGCUGCAAAAAGGGACGAUCAUGAUGCCAUGGUUCAAAAGCAUAUGCGACAAUGAUGAUGCUAUUAAACGCUUACAUGAAUUGGAAAUCCCGAGUUGCUAAAGAAGUUGAUGAGUUAGAAUUCAUCCAUACAACGGAAAGGGAAAAGUCACGAUGAGUUUUUAUUAAGAAACGUUCCGACUUCACUAAAAAUUUGAAGGAAAAAUCUACUGUGAUCUUUGAACUAAUGAUGGAAGAAACCCAUCUGGCGGAUGUGUUGGUGGAGAGAAAAGUUGCCUGUGUGUUAAAGAUGACAACCUCAAAUAUUUCAAGUGUUCCCAACUCUCCAACACGCACAAGCACAAGUAUUGGGCAUGAUUAAAAAAGGUAGCAGCAGGUGUGUUUAGAGAGAUAGGGAGACUGAGGAGAGUUGACGUGAUGGAUUUUCAAGCUAAAAAAAGUGGCUAGGAAAAGAGAGUGGUGCCAUGAAAGGAAUAUACAUAUUCUUGAAAUGUUGCUUUGAUUUCUUUGAUGAUUCUGAAAUGAAAUGCUUCCUUUACACUGCAUUAUACCUGACUGGAUAGUGACAUCCAAAAGGACAACUUACUAGACAAUUGGGCAGCAGAGGAACUUCUCAACACAAUUGAUGAUUCAGAAGAAACACGUGUCAAUGGACGUGAAGUAUUGCAUUAUCUUAAGAUGCACUCAUUACUUGAGGUUAAUGAACCUCAACAAUGUAUUAGGAUACACAAGCUGAUUCACCUAGCUGCAUUAUAUAGUUUGUCAACUGAUGGAGGCUAAGGAAUUUUGGUAAAAUUUGGUGAAGCACUAGAUAAGCCCGUGGAUGUGGAGUGUUGGGAAAACAAGAGAUGGAUCUAACUGGUUGACAACAAAAUGAAUGCAUUACCAGCCGAACCAAUUUGUCCAAAGCUUUCGACACUAUUCUUGCAGAAAAAUCCAAAUCUGGAAUUUGUUACAGAAGCAUUCUUUAUUUAUAUGAAGAGUCUUCGUGUUCUCAACUUAUAUGAUACGUGAAUCACAUCACUACCAAGUUCUUUGUGGAACCUAAUCUCCUUGAAAGCCCUCUACUUGCAAAAAUGUUUGGAUUUAGUUGAGCUUUUGUCUGAUUUUGUGAAACUGGACUCCCUUGGAGUACUUGAUGCACAGUGAAGCGGACUAGCAAACAUACCGCCUCAAGUCACAGAAUCGAUACACGUAUGGCGGUUGCUGGUAUCCUUUGCUAUGAACACACCUCUUCAAAAUGCAUUUAAGGACGUGAACCUUAUUUCUGAAGUGUAGAAUCUUAAAGAAUUCGUAAUCGAGGCUGAAGAAAAGUUUGGGGAAAGUUUAUGCAGUUUGGUUAUCAGAAAGUUAGGGAUAACAAGACUUUAUCUUCUUCAAUUUUGUUAUCAUAAUGUGGUGAUAGAUUACAUCAAAGCUGCAAGUGGUUGUUGGAGGAUCAAUUUUCUAUGCAAAACUUUCUUCAAAGUUGCAUUAAAGGAGUAGGUUACCUGGAUUAUAAAAAGUGACAAUUUUUUAAAAGUUGUCAUAUAUCAUCGUAUCCAAUCAUUAUGAAGUUUAUGUCUUAUUUCAUGUUCAAUGGAUAAGUUAGCAGAUACAUAAUCUCUCAUGUCCUUCGUGAUGAUGUUGUCAUUGAGUUUGUCAAUCAUAAUGAACUUCAACACUUGUCAAACUUUGCUGCCGAAGAAGUCGAUAGAAUCCGUUUUGUGUUCUAGAAGGUUCCAACAAGAUGAGAACAUUACUAGAUGGUCACAUUAAGGCUGUUUAAUCUUAAAGAAAUUGGAAAAAUUACGCAUGUUGAAGCUGCUACUUUUGAAAAACAUUUGUGAAGGUCCAAUGCAAGGUCUUCUCAUUGGUUUGAAAACAUUUAUAUUGUGCAACUGUCUGAUGUUGACAUCUUUGUGUGCAUAUGGUGCAAUUAUGCAAAUUCGUCAUCUUGACAUCUUUGUGUGCAUAUGGUGCAAUUAUGCAAAUUCGUCAUCUUGACAUCUUUGUGUGCAUAUGGUGCAAUUAUGCAAAUUCGUCAUCUUGACAUCUUUGUGUGCAUAUGGUGCAAUUAUGCAAAUUCGUCAUCUGGAAGUCAAAGGGUGCUCUCAGAUGAAAGAGAUAUUUUAUGGGCCUUCGAAUGUUGGGCUAGUUCGAUUCUACCAAAUCUGAAUAAACUAAUACGCAGUGAUAUUCCACAACUUACAAGUAUAUUGAUGAAUAACUCAUUUGAGUGACCUUUUUUGGAGAAACUUAAGAUUCGUUGUGUCCAAAGUUAAAAAAUUAUCUUUUAAAAAAGAUAGUGUUGUGAAAUUGAAUUUAGUUGAAUUAGAGAAAAGUUGGUGGGAAAUCUUGGAAAACGACUAGGAGGUUAAAAAACAAUUUCAACGCUACUGCACCUUCAGGUAAGAGUCCAUAUAUUUUUGAAAACUUAUUUACACUAAUUGAAAAUUAUUAAUAAAAAUUUAAUUUAUCAUAUUUAUCUUGUUUGAACUUGAACAUAUAUGUAUGUAUGCAUGCAUGCAUGUAUGUAUUUUGGUUAAGUUCAAAGAUGCAUCUUUUUUAUCUAUGAUGGAUUUAAUGGUAAUUAAUAACUUUCAAUUAGUCUAAAUAAGUUUUCAAGGCUCUAUAGAUUCUUACCUGAAGGUGCAACAUUGUUGAAAUUGUUCUUUAACCUCCUGAUCAUUUUCCAAGGUUUCCCACCAACUUUUCUUUACUUCAACUAAUUUCAACUUCAUAACACUAUCUUUUUUUGAAAUAUAAUCUUUUUAACUUUGGACACCCAAGAAUUUUAAUUUCAAAGAAGAUCACUUGAAUCAGUUACUCAUUAAUAUACUUGUAAGUUGUGGAAUAUCAUCGAGUAUUAGUUUAUUCAAAUUUGGUAAAAUUAGAGUAGCCCAACAUUCAAAUGCCCAUUAAAUAUCUCUUUUAUUUGAAGCACCCUUGGACUUAUAGAUGAUGAAUUUGCAUAAUUACAUCAUAUGCACGCAAAGAUGUCAACAUCAGACACUUACACAAUAUCAAUGUUUUCAAACCGACCAGAAGACCUUGCAUUGGACCUUCACAAAUGUUUUUCAAAAGUAGCAGCUUCAACAUGCGUAAUUUUUCCAAUUUUUUUAAGAUUGAGUUGUCUCAAGUGUUACCAUCUACUAUUGUUCUCAUCUUGUUGCAACCUUCUAGAAAACAAAAACGGUUAUAUCUACUUCUUCAGCAGUAAAGUUUGACAAGUGUUGAAGUUCAUUGUGAUUGACAAACUCAAUGACGAUAUCAUCACGAAGGACAUGAGAGAUUAUGUAUCUGCAAACUUUUCCAUCGAACAUUAAAUAAGACAUAUACUCCAUAAUGAUCGGAUACGAUGAGAUAUGGCAACAUAUAAAAAAAAUGACACCUUUUUAGAUUAAGGUUAUCUACUUCUUUGAUUCAACUUUGAAGAAGGCUUUGCGUAGGAAAAUUGAUCAUCCAACUAUCACCUAUAACUUUGAUGUAAUCUAUCGUCACACUAUGAUAACAAAACUGAAGAAGCGAAAGUCUUGUUAUCCCCAAUUUCUUGAAAACCAAAUCGCAUAAAUUUUCCUAAACUUUUCUUCAGCCUCGAUUACGAGUUUUUUUAAAAUUUUGCAUUUUAGAAAUAAGGUCUACAUCCUUGGAUGUAUUUUGAAGAGGUGUGUUCCUAGCAAAGGAUACCAGCAACCACUCUAUGUGUAUCGAUUCUGUGACUUGAGGCGGUACACUUGCUAGUCCGUUUCAUUGUGCAUCAAGUACUUUAAGGGAGUCCAGUUUCACAAAAUCAGACAAAAGCUCAACUAAGUCCAAACAUUUUUGCAAGUAGAGAGCUUUCAAGGAGAUUAGGUUCCACAAAGAACUUGGUAGUGAUGUGAUUCACGUAUCAUAUAAGUUGAGAACACGAAGACUCUUCAUAUGAAUAAAGAACGCUUCUGGAACAGAUUUGGAUUUUUCUGCAAGAAUAGUGUCGAAAGUUUUGGACAAAUUGGUUUGACUGGUAAUGCACUCAUUUUGCUGUCAACCAGUGAGAUCCAUCUCUUGUUUUCCCAGCACUCCACAUCCACGGGCUUAUCGUGUCUUUCUACAAUUUCAUAUGCCAAAUAUCAGCCUCAUAUUUUUCAAUGUUUAUUGUUUGCCUACAAAUCUUCAUGUAUGAUUCACUAUAGCUUUGUCUAUUUCCUUUUUAAUGAGUUAAAAUACUCACCUAAGCUCCUAUAUUUCUCUCUUUUACGACAUUACAUAUCUUUAAUGUGAAUAAAUUUAUAUUUUUGUUUGAAUUUGGUGUUAGGUUUUUCACAAGAAGGAUUGUUGCUUUGUAGAGUUAUGAGAAUCAACACCUAGAGAAGACUGCAUCUCCUCCUAUGCCAUCACUACAAUAAAACGAACCAUCUGUUUUUUUUUACCUGAUGUCAUAAAAGGAUUUUAUCUUUGGAGUUUUAAAAAUAUUCAAACACAUAAAAAUGAACCUUUUGAUGAUAUGUACCGAUUAUUAAGUUAAUUUAGCUGAAUCACUAAUUUGUUGGUUUCUCGGUUUAGUUAAGGUUUAUGUUUUUUAUUCCAGCAUAUAUAAUGCAGUACAUUUGCUUGACAGUAAAUGGAAUGUAGAUUUUUUGUUUGUGUAUGUAAUAAAGGUCAUUUGGUCUCUUAAUUACUCAAUCUAUCGUAUUUACCAAUAAAUUCAAGUAUUCCAUCCAUUUCGUUUUUUAUAAUUGGUAGCUAUCCAAUCUGACAAUAUGAAGUAAUUUUGAAGGGUUCCAUUUGAUGUAAGGUAUGUAACUUUUUAAUCAUAUAAAUGACACUAUAUGAAAUCGUUGACUCUUAUCUAAUUCCAAGAUUAUUUUUUUAGUUUUAUUGAUGAGUCAACAUUCAUUCCUCUGAAGGGGUCCUUUAUUGCUCAAGGUAUCCUCAAAUGGUAAUAAAACAUUGCACUCUCCAAUCAAGGCAUUAUACUUUUAAAUUUUGUCAUUAUAUUUCCACUCUGUUAAAUAUUUUUAUUUUAACUGGACUAAGUUGAGGCCUUUUCUUUUCAUUUAUUAAUUUUACAUCUUAAGUGGCAGAUCAUAAAGAUUGGAAUGGUUGACCGGGAAGUUUGUUGUUACAACAAUAUAAAUGAAGGAGAGAGAAGUGUUGUUGUCAAUGUAAUCAGUAUUCAUUAUUUAUUCAUAUUGGAAAAAGAGAGUAGGAUGUUGUCAAAAUCAUAUUUUGUUUGGGUGAAGAACCACAAAAAUAAAAAUUAAAAGGUAAUUUGAGCAUUUUGCUUUAUACUGAUUUUUUGUUUUCAUGUUUUGCUUAUCAAUAAUGUGUGUUUUUUUUUUUGUUUUUUGUUUUUUGUUUUUUAAACUUUAUGACGUAUAAUUUACUUAUAAGUUAUACAUUUUUAUUUUGUAUAUAAUAACAAUAUGAUCUCCAAUAUUUUUUUUAGUAUUUUUUAGUUUAAUAAUUUACAAAAAAAGUAUAACUUUAAAAGUGAAUCAAAACACAAGCAUUUGACCGUCAAUUUAUAGAUAUUAUGAAUACUAAAACAAAAUGUCUCUUUUAAUAGUUUUUAUAGUCAUUUCCUUGUGUAACAUUAACUUACUUUCGGUAUCUUUCAAAUAAAAUUAUAAUCAUAUUAAUAAAAAACAAGAAGUAAAAAGGAAAUUAAUGAGAGAAAUGUGAGCAACAAGACAAAUGGCUAUAUGUUGAAGUUAAAAUUUUUCCAAUAAUAAUAUAAUAUUAACUUUUAAAGUUUAAAUACGUCAAUUUUUGGUAAAAAUUGAAAUAGUUGGGUACUUUGGUUUUUUAGAUAAUCAACAAUUCUUAAACUCAAUUUAAAACCCAAACCUCAUAUUUGAAACUCUUAAAAUACAAUUUGCUAAUACUUUUUUUUUUUGUUUUGUAGUAUGACAUGUUAUAAAAUAAAUUAUUUGUCAAAAGAAAACUAUGAAGAUUCUUGCAUUUAAUAAUUGCAUGAUAUCUNNNNNNNNNNNNNNNNNNNNNNNNNNNNNNNNNNNNNNNNNNNNNNNNNNNNNNNNNNNNNNNNNNNNNNNNNNNNNNNNNNNNNNNNNNNNNNNNNNNNNNNNNNNNNNNNNNNNNNNNNNNNNNNNNNNNNNNNNNNNNNNNNNNNNNNNNNNNNNNNNNNNNNNNNNNNNNNNNNNNNNNNNNNNNNNNNNNNNNNNNNNNNNNNNNNNNNNNNNNNNNNNNNNNNNNNNNNNNNNNNNNNNNNNNNNNNNNNNNNNNNNNNNNNNNNNNNNNNNNNNNNNNNNNNNNNNNNNNNNNNNNNNNNNNNNNNNNNNNNNNNNNNNNNNNNNNNNNNNNNNNNNNNNNNNNNNNNNNNNNNNNNNNNNUAUAUAUAUAUAUAUAUAUAUAUAUAUAUAUAUAUAUAUAUAUAUAUAUAUACACUAUAUUAUUAAACAUAUUGCCCAUUUCUUGAAAAUUAAGAGGUACAAAACUUAAUACAUCAUUUACAAUCAUAUUAUGCUUAUUGUUACUAGACAUAAAUCUUAUAACGCUUCUAUUGUUUAAUAAUAGUAACUUAUGACGUUUCCUUCUAAUUAACUAAAACGCAUAUGUUUUGUUAAUUGAGAAAAAUUAAACAAUAAUAUCAUUUCAUCCAUUUCUCUUUGACAUCACAGUUUCUCUCAAUCCAAUACCCAUAAACCCUAAUCAGAGAGUUGUCGUCACUGCUUUCAUCCUCAUUUCUCCCACACAAGCAUCGCAUUCGACCUCCAUCUCCACCGUCUCUCUUCAAUCACACCGAUUUUCCGACAACGAACCCCCACCAUAAUCCAUACUUGCCUCUCUCUCUAACUUUAUUUACGAUCCAACCCCACCACCACUCAUCGUUACAAGCAUCGCAAUCGAUGCUUCCCUCACAUCCACCACUAACUGAUGGCCAUGCUCCAAAUCUAUCAUCAGUGACAUGUCCCCUUCAACCAACCCUAACCAAAUAUUUAUCCUUCCUCCAUCUCCGCCCUCCUAUCUACAAUUUCAGGGGAGAUGCAGUCCGCACUUGGGGCUGCUACAGAUGAUGUUGUACUUUCUUUUUUGACAUGAGGAUGUUUUCUUGAUUUCCUUUAAUGACGCGUGUGGUAAUUGAGUUCAUUUAGGUUAUAGGGUUUGAAUUAACUGGAUUGAGUUGUUUAAUGUAAUGUUUGAUGAGUUUUUCUUUUUCUACAGGAAUUUCCCCUAAAGCUUAUCAUCCUUCUUUUGUUAUCUGGGAUGACACACUCUUUCAAUUUGCUGGUAUCUUUUUCAAGAUUCAAGCUAUAUAUUAAAAAAGUGAACGAUUAGUUUGUAUCUUUUUUUGCAAUAUUCAACCUACAACCUUUGGAAAUCGAUGGUAUGUUUGUUUUUUAAGGUACAUCUAAUUGUUUUAAAAUAGAAAAGUGAAAUUUACAUUGUUAUUAGUUUUAAUUUUAAUAUGAUAUAUAAUAUUUUUAAUUGCAUUUGGUUCAUCAGGUCUGUUUAUCUACUUAUGGUUCUUGAUUUUUAGUUAGAUGAACUAUCAAUUAUGGAACUUAAAGCAAUGUUGAAGGGUUGACCUGAUAUUGUUUAUUAUGGGUAAAAGGAAGUUAAUAAAAAUAUACUUGAAAAUAUCAAAAAAUUUGUCUUUAUGACAAUUAAGUGAAUUUUUUGAAGUAGAUUUAUAGAAGGCCAUUGUCGUGUCGUCGAUUACUGCAACAAAUGAUUUUGUUCAAAAGAAACAUGGAUAAACAUAUUCACCUUCAAUUUUCUUCCAUGUCUCGCUUCCAAAACAAAUUCCAACCAAGAAAUAAGAAUCAGAUAUCUAAUGUAGAAGAGCAAUUAGAUAUCGAUUCUAUGUGAAUAGUAAAGUUUCAAAAAUAGAGAAAAAAAUAAAAACAGGUAUGUUUCAAAGGCAAAUUGUUGCUACAUAAUCAGGUAAUGCAUGUGAUUUUGUAGAUUUUAUGGUAAAACAUGUGAUUUUGUGGUAUGAUCGACGAGAAAAUCUCUAUUUUAGGCAAAACUAUGGUCAUGGAAUGUGUAUGAUUAGUAAUUGUAGUCAUUAUUUAUGUAAUUUCUUUGUUUUUUACUUUGUUAUUUGUAACAUACAUAAUUGUAUCUUUUUGUUGGCCUUGAUCUAUGAUCAUCACUAAUUAGACGGGGCUGUUGAAACGAGUUUUGAUGAGGUUCAUAAUGUUUUGAAAUUGCAGGAUACAAAAGCUUGACUAAAUAUUCAGUUGAAAAUAUACAUAAAGUCAAAGGUAAGCUAUAUAGUUUCUUUUUGUAUUUGAUCACAAUAUAUCUGAUGUCCUCACCAUAUUUUCAUGUUGGUCUUAUUUCAAGAAAAAUAAGUAACUUGGACCAUCUACACUUAAUUACAUGUAUUUAAGGGCAAAACAGCCUAAAAAACAUUUGUUCUUGUUGAAAAAUAGGACCACAAGUUCCAAGGACCGCUUUCCUUAUAAAAUGAAUCGUGGUUGAGAAUUCUGGAUACUUUUGUCACUGACAGGUUUUAAUCUGUUUCAUGCAAUGGAAUUUUAAUAUUACAGUAUUAUGGUAAUUUCAUUUGGUGCUUUGUGUAUGAUUUUAGUUUAGAUGAUUAAUGCAGAAUUAUAUUAUUUCAUUUAUGGUCGGCCAAUACAUAUCCAAUACAUAUGAUGUAAGGUGCAUUCAUUACAAAGAGAAUCAUCAGGCUUGUUCACUGAUUUUUCAUAAUUUAUAUUUUCUCAACUUUUUUUUUAAUUUUUUUUAUUUUGAAUUUCAAUAUUUUGUGUUUUAAAGGACAUUGAUGGUGGUGGUGCCGCCUGCACCCUUUAACCAUCCACUGCCAUGGAUGUCAUCACCGAAAUCAUAUUGUGCCGCCUUCAACUACUUUCCAGGUAUUGUCCCUUUCUUUUGGAUUUUCAUUUUCUAAUUCUUUUCUCUCCCUUAAUUUUUCCAUGGUAAUUACUUGGCUCCCUUCACUAUAUCUGAGAAUUUUCGUCUCUAAUUCCAUAUUCCAAUUUUAGAUACACGAUUCUAACCAGAAAUCUGUCAAUGAACCAUUGGUAACAGUAUGGAUCUAUGUUCUUUAGCUGCAAUUUUCAUAUGUUUUAAUAUCAUUUUGAAAGCCUUUAUUGAUAUUUGUAUAGCGGUUAGACAUGUGUUUAUAAACAUUUUUGUUGUUAUUAGGAGACAGGUUUGGGAUAAUCAAACUCAAUGUGUGCAAACAUACACAAAGGUAAGUUAUAUAGUUUUUUAAUCUUUCAAUGGGACUAUAUGUGGGAAUUCAUGAAAGGGUAAUAUAGAAAAAUUCAGCUUAGUUCUUUAACAUGUAAAAGUUGUAUCAGCUGCUACAGAUUGGACUUUUUUGUUGUUUUUAUUCACCUUUUUGAAGUUUUCUUAAGUAUUUGGCUGGUUUUAAAUUGUGGCAAAAAGUUGAUGCUUUGAUGUACUUCUUCUUUGUUAACACUUGGGCGUUCAACCUGUACAAUUUCAUUGGUUUUUAGCUCAAUUUAACUAUUAGGUAAUGAGGAGCAAAACCAAUAUGAUGCUUAUCUUACUGGAGUGAAGAUAUCUUAUUGGAGUUUGUCACAUCUGAUGAGCUUAGUCUAAAAAUGGUUUCUUAUACCUUUGUUUUUAUUUUUGGUGAUAAAGGACCUUUCGUUCUCUCUUGAAAGAAAUUCACAAAAAUAACCAAUUGUAUCUCUUUUUUUCAUAGAAAUCCAUGGAUUUGUUGUAUAGGGACAGUGGGUUUAAAAGAAGUUUGCGGUUAAGAACCUUAGAAAGCUUAAUAUUUUCUUGUAGUUUUCUUAUAUUAUCUUAUAUUCUUUAUUACCUAAAUAUAGUAUGUAGAUUUCAUGUGAAUUAUCAUACACUUGCAAAACAUAAAGAUAUUUUUGAUCCUAAAGCAUUUGUGCUUAAUUUUUUCUAAAAAUGUUAAAAAGGUAAACCAUCAAGUUAUUGGAACCUAGAGAUCAUCAAGUUAUAGUAACAUGGACAUUAAUUAUAAUAAUAAUAGCCAUCUUAUCGCAAAUUUCACAAAUGUAGAUCGUUAAUAAGCUAAAGGUAAAAUUUUCAUAUAUAAGUUUGUACGCAUUGACUAUAAGUGCAUGUGAUUGUGUGUGUUUAUAUAUGUACUAGGCGAAUGUUUGCGCGUUGCGCAGAAGCAUCUAUAUAACUGAAAUCUUUACAAAUAUAUGUUUUUUUUUAAUAUAACAGUAUUGUUGUUGAAUUUGAUAUAAUAAUUUGUAUACUAAGUUGAUAUAAUAUAUUGAUUAUGUUGAAUUAUAUGAUAAUAUAUACAUCUAUUAAAACUGCAUAAUCUCAAUCUUUUGAACUACCUCUACCCACGGGUUACUCAUGAAUAAAAUUAAAUAUAAUAUAUGGUUUAAUGUUAUUUAUAGUUGUUGUUAUUCUUAAUUAAUUUUUUAAAAUUUAUUUGCUUAACAUUUCAAUUUCUAUCAUUGUAAUUAUUUAAAAUAUCAAAUUUUUUAUUUUAAAGAUAACAAUAUAAUAAUUAUAUAGAGUUAUUUUUAACUAUUAUUAUUGUAAGUUAUUUUAAGUUAAUUAUUUAAAAACUUUUAACGAUUAUAAAAAUAUAUUUAGAAAAUAUUUUAGUUAAAUUUAUAUUACAAUUUUGUUUUUGCAUUUAUCACUAUAAUUUAUCACUUUUAACUAUUAACAAAAAUAUUCCUUGGGUUUUUUUUAAGUGAAAGUGAAAUUUAUAUUGAAGUUAACCCUGUAAUGUUAUAUUUAAAUUAACAAAUGAAGUAUUUUGUCCAAACUGUUCAAAAGUUGUAGCUUUAAACUGAUAAUGGUUUACAUACAACAACAUAUUAAAUCUAAUAAAUUUAGUAUAAUAUGUUAAAAGUUAAAGACAUAACUUUAUAAGUAGAAGUAAAAAUAUUAUUUUAAUAUUGAAAUUUAGUUUAUUUAUGAUUACACUUUAGAUUUGAUACUUAUUUAAACUUAUUAAUCAACUUAUAAUCAUUAUUAGAAAUACACUAAAAUUUAGCACUUUUAACUUUCUACAAAAUAUUCUAUAGAUUGUUUAAGUUGAACUAAAAUUUAAAUUUAAGUUGAUUCUAUAAGGUUAUAUUUAAAUUAAUAAUUUAAGUAUUUUAUAUAAAUUUUUCAAAAGUUGUAGCUUUAAAAUGAUACUGGUUUACAUAUAACAACAUAUUAGACCUAAUAAAUUAAGUAUCAUAUGUUAAAAGUUAAAAACAUAACUUUAUAAGUAGAAGAAAAUUUAUUCUUUUAAUAUUGAAAUUUAGUUUAUAUAUGAUUACACUUUAGGUUUUAUAUUUAUUUAACCUUAUUAACCAACUUAUAAUCAUUAUUAAACAGAAAUUUGAAAAGUCAUGGGAGUUUCAAAUGAAUGUGGUGAAAGGAAAAAUGAAUGGGGGUUUCAAAUGUAUGGGAUUCAAGAAAAAAUGUUAACUUUAUAAGUAUGUAUGAUGUGACUUUAUGUAUGUAUAAAACUUAGUUAAUAUGAUUUACGUUUUUUUUUUUUUUUUUUUUUUUUUUUUUUUUUCUCUUCUUUUACGUUUCAUGGAUUUAAAAAUAUGAAAAAUUAAAAGAUUCAUUAUUGUUAGUCAUUCUAUGUUUCUACAUAGUAUGUUGCUAUUUGUUCCAAUUUCCCAUUAAUAUUUGUGGUCACCUAAUGAUCGCCAGUUAGGAUUUUACACCUAUAAAAAAUCGAUUUUCGUAUAUUAAAUAUCUAUUGUUUUCAUUAAUUAUUUCUUCAAUAUAUUGUUUAUAAGUUUGAGAGGUUUCCAAAGACCAGUUUUCACCCCUUGUACUAUCCCGAAUGCCCAAAAAAUACAUUUCUAGAUAUUAAAAGUUAGAAAAAAAAAUAUUGUUUUGAACCCCCUAAAUGGUCCCAAAUGCCCGCAAAACAUCUUAGCUCACGGUGUAGCCAUGAGUUGUACUUAUUUUCCCACCACAUUGUACGAAUAUGCAUCUAGCUAGAAACUACCCAUUGAAAUGAACUAUCCGGCACAAAACAAGCCGCCAAAAAGCGGUAAGGAACUUGUGCCUAAAGGAAACUAAUUGUAUCUAGGAACGAAUUUCUGAAAAAACUAUUCGCACCCGUCGCUUGGCGCGGGUAACGGCUAGUAUAUAUAUAUAUANNNNNNNNNNNNNNNNNNNNNNNNNNNNNNNNNNNNNNNNNNNNNNNNNNNNNNNNNNNNNNNNNNNNNNNNNNNNAUAUAUAUAUAUAUAUUUCAAAUUAGCUUAUAGAAGUUAUUUUUUCCACCUGUGUAUGUGAAAACUAAAAAUUUUAAUGCAUAAUGAAUGGAGAAACGGAUUGUAUACACUAAUGUUAAGAUUGUUUUUAGAUUAAAAAUUAAACUUUAACCUACACGGUAUUACAAAAUAGAAUUAUUAUUUUGUUAAUCUUAUAAUUCCAUUUUUGAGAUUAAGUGUAAUUUUUAUGACAUUCAGUUAUUUACAAAAACUAAAAUAUAUAGUAAGUUUGUCCACCAUAUGCUUAGAAAAAGAUAUCAUACUAUUAUGGAGCAUUAAAUGUCAUUCUUUUUUAGUUAGUAGACAUACAAAUAAAAAUCCGGUACAAAAUUCAUUAAGAAAACAAGUUUAAAGAUUUUGUAUUGGUUUGAGGGCUUUGGACUAUUUUUCGAGCCAUAUUAUUAUGUUAAAGUUUUUAAUUUGUAAGUUUGCUAUAUACUAAUUCUUCCUUUUUUUAUAUAUAUUUUUCUUGGUUUAAGUAUUCUUUUAAGACAAUCGUUGUAUGUUGUGGUUGAAACUUUAAUGUAAAUUAGAUUAGAUUCAUGUUAUCGAUCAUAUGUUAUGAAAAGUGAUAUAGAUAAUAUUUAAUUAAAUAUUAUAUAUAUAUUUUUGUAUGUUUGUGUUGCUUUAAAGUAAUAAUUAAUAAAAAAUCAUGGAUAUGCAAUAUUAUCCAUAGUAUCCAUAUAAGUCUCUUUUAAAAUAUAAAUUGUCUAUCUUAUCAAUUUAUGUUUUUAGUACAUGUUUAACAUUUUAAUUAUAAUAAUAAGUGUCUUUUAAAAGCUUUCUUUCGUUUAUUAAUAAUAAUAUAUAAGUGGUUUUAAAACUAAUGAACCAUAAUUAUAAAUAAUAAAAUCAAAUUAUAAAAAUCAUGGAUAUGUCAUAUUAUCUGUAACAUCCAUGAAAUUCACACCAAAUUUAAACUUUUUCAAUCGUAAAUAAAACCAUAAAGCAUUAUUUACAAAAUGUUUUCAAAUCAUUUUCCAUCAGAGUGUCCCAAAAAUCAUAACAUAAGGAUGAGGAGCGGUACGGUCACGCCUUCGCCUUUCCAUGGUCUCCUGAUGUACCUGAAACAACAAACUGAAAACUGUAAGCCCGAGGGCUUAGUGAGCUACACCCAAAAUACCAAUACCACACUGACAUUACCAAAACAGUAACAAUCAAUCAAUCAUCACGCAUACUGGGCCAUUGGCCUGACUGCACCGCCCUACCGGGCCUAUAGUCUGUCUGAAUCUAUCCCGAGCCUUCGGCAUGACUGGUCCGCCACGUGGGCCUACAGUCUCCCCGGACCGCUCAUAGGGUAUGUUGGCCUUCAGCACAAAGCAUGACUGCCUCAACCCAACCAACAAGCAAAUAACCAUGUGCGCAUAGCUAUCAUAUACUGGCAUAUACAAACAUCAAGCAUAUCUAUCUCACUGAUCACAAUCAUAGAAUUCACCUGUAACUAGAGUACCAACCUAUCAGGUCCCUAACACACCAAUCCCAACAGAUCAUAAAAGCAUAACAUACUGUCUACCUCGAUUCCGAACUAACAAAUCAUAAUCACAUGCAACAUGCCAUAACAAUAACAACUCAAGGGCCGACCUUGGUGCCGUAGACCCUAUCGAUAUAGUGAGGAUAACUCGCCUCGCAGAUGUCGACUCGGAAGGUAGACUCCAACUCUCGGAUCACUCGACACAGGCCCCACCACCUAUAACCAUAGUUCAAUAUACGCAUAAGCCUUUAACCUUAUAAGGUACUCCAUAACCUAAUAGUCGACCCCUGAUCAAGGUCAAAGUCCUCAGUUAAGGUUAACAGUCCAUGUUGACCUCAACUCGCAGAGUACACCUAGCUACUCACCGAGUCCCUUGAAGCACAAUCCAACUCGCCGAGUCAUCGAGGGAACUCGUCGAGUUCCUUUGAAUCCCGAUCAAACCUUAAGGCCACCUGUCGAGUUCCCUCCUUGCAACUCGACGGAUAUACACGCAAACAUAGUCUUGGUUAUAACUCAUCUGACUCGCUGAGUUGUUCUUCAACUCAUCGGGUCCCUUGACAAUCUUCAUCGGACUCGCUGAGUUGUUCUUCAACUCGUCGGGUCCCUUGACAAUCUUCAUCGGACUCGCCGAGUUGUUCUUUAACUCGUCGAGUUCAAUGACCAUCUUCAUGCGACUCGCCGAGUCCAUUUAGUCCUCUUUCCAUACAGAUCCAUUUUGAGCCAUGCAGCGGCUCCAAAUCGCAGAUCCAAGCUUCUAGGGCAUGCUUAUCAAGUUAAGUUGCAAACUUUACGUGCAUGCAUGGCUUAAAAGGCUCAAAAUGGCAAAUCUAAGCUAUUGAUGGGUCUUCAUGCACAAAGGGGACCUCAAUCACGACUAAAGCUGCAACUUUAUGUUUCUAGAACCCCAAAAGAGUCCAGAUCUGAAGUUACAACUUCAGAUCUAGCCCAUAGCUCAUCAUACCAACUUGAUAUUUCAUGAAAACCCUAAAACUCACCCAAUAAAGGAGAUCUAUAAGGAGAAUGACGGUUUUGGUACCUUUUGAAGUUGAUAUCUGAGAUGAGUGUUGAUUCCCACACUCCAAUUGCUUCAAUCUCCUUCUCCUCCAAGACUUCUCCCUCCAAGAACUCUCUUUCAAGCUUCAAACACACACAAAAGGCACACACACACGAAUAAGGCUCUCAAGGGUUCUUUGGAACUGUAAGGAGGUCCAAGGGAGGCUAAGGUCCAUUUAAAUAGGGGUGCAAACCCCGGGAAUUAGGGUUUCACUUGCCAGCUCCUACUCGCCGAGUAGGUCACUUAACCCGCGAUCCUUCUCACUGCUACUCGACGAGUAGGUAAACCAACUCGUCGAGUAGGGCCAAAUCCAAAAAUACAUAUUACCAUACCUGAGAAUCGGGGCGUUACAACUCUCCCCCACUUGAACUAGACUUCGCCCUCGAAGUCCGCUGGAAUGAACAGUGUCGGGUAAUGCUCGCGUAUCUUCGCCUCCGGCUCCCAUGUCCAUUCGGAUCCCUUCUGAUGCUCCCACUGUACCUUCACUAAAGGUAUUUCCUUGUUCCGCAUAAUCUUCUUCUUCCUUUCCAAAAUAGCCACAGGCCUCUCCACAUAGUUCAGGCGCUCAUCAACCUGAAUGUCAUCCAACGAUACCACUGCCUCCUGGUCCAUAAUGCAUUUUCGCAACUGCGAAACAUGAAAUGUGUUGUGGAUUCGGCUAAGCUCCUCUGGAAGCUCUAGCCUAUAAGCCACCCUGCCAAUCCUGGCGAUAAUCCUAAACGGCCCAUAUAAUGGGGACCCAAUUUUCCCCUCUUCCUGAAGCGGAUCACACCCUUCCAUGGUGAGACCUUUAGAAGAACCAUGUCCCACCUGAAAUUACAGCUCAGAUCGGCGUCGGUCGGCAUAACUUUUCUGCCGGCUCUGUGCGGUCUGCAAUCGCUGUCUAAUCUGCUGUAUCAUUCUGUUAGUUUGCAGAACUACCUCUGUCCGACCCAUCACUCUGUGCCCAACCUCGCCCUAGCAAACUGGGGUCCUACACUUCCGUCCAUACAACAGCUCGAAAGGCGGCGCGCCAAUACUGGAAUGAUAGCUAUUGUUGUAGGCGAGCUCUGCAAGCGGUAGGUGGGAAUCCCAACUCCCACCAAAAUCAAUAACACACGCCCUCAACAUAUCCUCGAGGGUCUAAAUGGUCCGCUCACUCUGCCCAUCAGUCUACGGAUAGAACGUUGUACUAAAAUGCAGUCGUGUACCCUGUUCCUCAUGGAACUUCUGCCAAAAAUGGGAAGUAAACCUGACAUCUCGAUCGGAAACGAUAGAAACUGGAACCCCAUGGCGAGAGACAAUCUCUCUGACGUACAGGUCGGCCAACUUCUCUGUCGACGAACUUUCCCGUAUGGCUAGGAAAUGGGCACUCUUGGUCAAUCGAUCCACGAUGACCCAUAUAGCAUCAAACCCCCUUGCCGUUUUUGGUAACUUCGUGAUGAAAUCCAUAGUGAUCCUUUCCCAUUUCCACAUGGGAAUCUCCAGAGGUUGUAACUUACCAUGCGGCCUCUGAUGCUCGGCCUUGACCAUCCUACAGGUCAAGCACCUCUCAACAAACCAAGAGAUAUCUCGCUUCAUAUCAGGCCAUCAAUAACUCGAACUCAAAUCACAGUACAUCUUGGUGGCUCCCGGGUGAAUCGAAAAAUGAGACUUAUGAGCCUCAUCCAUCACUGUCUGCCGGACCCCUUCGGACAUCGGAACCCAAACCCGACCGUAACGGGUCAACAAUCUGCGGCUAUCCUGAACAAUCGGGCGCUUUCGCCCUUAAUCCUCUCCAACUUCCAGUUCUCCGGCCUCAUGCCCUCAAUCUGAGCAUCUAUGAUCAAACCCACCGGUGGGGAAUCCACUGCUAUCCUCAUACACCUGGCUGGGGUCGAGGACCCAACUGACUUGCGGCUCAGAGCAUCCGCAACCACAUUCGCUUUACCAGGAUGGUAAAGGAUCUCGCAAUCAUAGUCCUUGACCACAUCCAGCCACAUGCGCUGCCUCAUGUUCAGGUUCGACUGAUCCAUGAUGUGUCUCAAACUCUUGUGAUCCGUGUAUAUAGUACAACGGACCCCGUACAUAUAGUGCCUCCAAAUCUUGAGAGCGAACACCACCUCUCCCAACUCAAGAUCGUGCGUAGGGUAUAUCGUCUCAUGCAACUUCAGCUGCCGCGAUGCGUAGGCUGCCACUCGUCCCCUCUGCAUGAGGACUACCCCUAAGUCGGUGAUGGAUGCAUCACAAAAUACCACGAAGUCCUCCACUCCCUUGGGGAGUGUCAACACCGGCGCCUCUCAUAAACACCGCCGGAGGGUCUCAAACGCCCUCUGCUGCUCAGGGCCCCACCUGAAAUCCACCCAUUUCCUCGUUAGACGAGUGAGGGGUACGACAAUCUUGGAGAAAUCACGAAUGAAUCUCCGAUAAUACCCUACUAAACCCAAGAAAAUCCUGAUGUCUGAGGGAUAUUUUGGAGUCUCCCACUGUAUUACCGCCUCCACCUUGGUCGGAUCGACCAAAAUCCCCUCCUGAUUAACGAGAUGUCCGAGGAACUGGACCUCUCGUAACCAAAACUUGCAUUUCGAGAACUUGGCAUACAUCCGUUCUCGCCUCAGAACCCCUAGCAGCUCCCUAAGAUGCUCCUCAUGCUACUCUUGAGUCUUGGAAUACACCAAGAUAUCAUCUAUGAGCACAAUGACCGAGCGAUCGAGCAUCGGUCUGCAGACUCGAUUCAUCAGAUCCAUGAACACCGCUGGCGUGUUGGUGAGCUCAAAUGGCAUCACCACGAACUUGUAAUGACCAUAACGAGUUCGAAACGCGGUCUUUUCCACGUCCUCCUCCCUCACCCUGACUCGGUGAUAUCUUGAUCUCAAAUCAAUCUUGGAAAACCAAGACGCACCCUGCAGCUGAUCAAGGAGAUCAUCUAUCCUCGGGAGUGGAUAACGCUUCUUCACCGUUAACUUGUUCAACUCCCUAUAGUCAAUGCACAUCCUGUGCGAACCGUCCUUCUUCCUGGCGAAAAUGAUCGGUGCUCCCCAGGGUGAACUACUCGGACGAAUAAACUGCUUGCCCAGCAGCUCCUGCAACUGAGAUGAUAGCUCCUGCAUCUCAGGCGGUGCCAGUCGAUAUGGCGCCUUGGCGAUAGGGGCCGCAUCUGGCACUAAGUCGAUCCUGAACUCAACCUGCCUCUCCUGGGGCACUCCGGGUAACUCUUCUGGAAACACAUCAGCAAAUUCCCUCGCCACCGGGACCUCAGAAACUGAGAGCUGCUCUCUAACCCGCGUAUCUACCACAUAUGCCAAUUAACCAGCAAACCCGUGCUAAAUAUAUUGACGAGCCCUGGCUGCCGAACAAAACCCUGAUCCCAACCUGGUGCCCUCACCAUAUACUACAAGUUCUCCCCCACUUGGGGUUCGAACCACCACCCGCUGACCCUCACAGUCGAUCAUGGCGCCAACACGGCUAAGCCAAUCCAUCCCUAUAAUCACGCAUACAUCCCCUAUGGGGAUAGGAAUCAAAUCUAUCAGGAAGGACACCCCGAAAAUCUCUAACUCGCAUCCCUGGUAGACCGAAGAAGCAGAAAACCCAUGCUUGUUGGCGAUCGAAACUCGCAACGGACACUCAAGAUCAUCUAUCGGCACACUGACCCUCUAGAGAAGGACUGAGAUACAAGCGACCGACUCGCCCCCGAGUCAAAUAAUACCAAGGCAGGAAAAGAAUUUACUAAAAACGUACCUAAUCACAGGUACAAUCAAUAAGCAUAACACAAAUACAAUAACUGAGACAGAGAAUAGAAACGUACCAGCAACCACAUCUGGUGCUGACUUAGCCUCCUCGGCCGUGAGCUGGAAGGCGCGACCCUGAGCCUUCGGAGGCUCCACCUUGACUGGCCUCCCAUCUCCAAUCCUCGCAGCAGCUGGCGCGAAACCCUGCGCCGGCUUGGCGGCGAGCUGCGGACAGUUGGUCUUCACAUGACCAACCUGAUGAAAAUGAUAACAAAUCUUCAUAUCUGCGGGAGAGGCGGACUGAUGGCAGUCCUUGGCAUAUUGCCCCUCCUUGCCAUAUUUGUGGCACCCACCUCCUGCUCUACAGACUCCCGAAUGAGCCCUGCCACACUUUCCACAAGUGUGGCUCUGCUGACCCCCAGACCGUGUAUCAGCGGUCUUAGACCGCUUAGGUGCCGGCUGAGACUGUGCCGGUGCCUGACGCUGCUCCUUCAGCUGCAGCUCUAUCUCCAACUCACGCUGUCGCGCGGCUUCCUGAAGGUCCAGGAGGGUAUCACAUCACUGGGUAGACACAAACUGUCGAAUAUCAGUCUUGAGCAUACUCAGAUAACGAGUCAUCUGAGACUGCUCUGAAGCAAACUCCGGGCAAAACAUAGCCCUCUCCAUGAACAUACGAGUGAUCUCCAUCACAGACUCCCCAUCCUGUCUCAAUGUCAAAAACUCCUGAGCAAGCCGCUCCUGNNNNNNNNNNNNNNNNNNNNNNNNNNNNNNNNNNNNNNNNNNNNNNNNNNNNNNNNNNNNNNNNNNNNNNNNNNNNNNNNNACCUUGAAAGAGCUACGAUUGCCGGUCACACAGAACGUAGCGGGUGUGAAACAUAUCCUGGAACUGCUCCCACGUAAUUGUUGGAUAAGGUGUCUAAGUCCAUAACUAUUUCGGGCUUGUACUUGACCCGACCCGGCAUGGUCCAUUUGGGUUGCAUGGCACCAUGCAAUUGGAUAGACUUAAUGAGAGAAAUAACACUUGGAGAUUAUUAAUAUAUUAUAAGUUCUAAUAUAUUAAUAAUAUUAUUUGAUUAGUUGAUCAAAGAAUUAAUUUGGAAUUAAUUAAGUGAUCAAAGGAUAACUAAUUAAAUAUAUGGGUUGAUUAUGUAAAUCAUCCAUAUCUUGUAUAGUGGGCUAAGAGGCUCCAUGGAUUAUCAAGUUGGGUUCUACCCAUAGGAUGCUCCAUGGAUGCUCCAUGGGAGUUACAAACCCAUGGGUCAUGGAAAUGAAGAGUCAUGACACAUUAGGGUUUACAUGGUGUAACCCUAGAUGUGUCAACACUAUAUAAGAAGCAUAUUCUCCACCAAAAUCGGCUACACUAAGAAACUAGAGGGCUUGGCCGAUUUUGAGAAGUGUGUGUUAUCUCAAGAGUCUUUCCAAGAGCAUUUGGUGUUGUGUGAAGCAUUUGAGGCAUCACACUUGGGGUGCUAGGCUCACAAGGUUUCAAGGAACACAAGCAACAACAAGGUAAGUUAUUCUAUCUAUGAUUCAAGUUAAAAUUGUUCCCCAUGUAUGCUAGAUAGGAAUAUAACCUUGGAAUUCAACUUUGCAUGAUAAUUAGACAAACAUAGAUCCAAGGUUAUUAGGGUUGCAUGUACACUUAGGAAGUGUUAGAAUGCUCAAAACCCAUCAGUGGUAUCAGAGCCUAGGCUUGUUUGUUUGUUAUUUGUGCUUAAAAGUUGAAGAAAGUCGAAAAUCUUGCUGUCUGACUGAUGGACUCGGCGAGUCCAUGGGGAGGACUCGUCGAGUUCAUGUGUAUCUUCAACCUACUCGGCGAGUAGGUUUAUGCACUCGGCGAGUAGGGUCGACAGAGUGCAGAAUUUCGACUUGAGUUGCUGGAAAUGGAUUAGAAUCAUUACCCUAAAAUGUUUUGGUACUUGAAAACUUAUUUUAGAAGGUGUAAUGUCUUUUCUAACUCAUUUACAACAACUAGUUAUCAAAAUUACAAAGAUUAAAUGUGAUUUUGAUUCUUGAAAGUGUUCAUAUUCAUAUUCUUGUUCUUAUGAUGUUUAGAUGAUCAUAGGAAUUAUUUGUAACCUAUGUGGUAGAUUAAUUCAUGAUCAUAAUGUGUUUUAAUGGAGUCCAUAACUUGUCCUCAAGUUAUGGAAAACCAAAAGUCUCUUGGAUUAAAAACCAUUAAAAGAACACAAGAGUUAGGAAAAAUGAAAAGUCCUCAUUUUAUUACUCUAUUAAACUCAUAAGUUACAAGAAAUGAAAAGUUUUGAAAGUUUACAAAACUUGCCCUCAAGUUUUGGAACAAGUAAAGUUAAGUUAAAACUUUAGUUCCAACCCCUAGAAUUUUAAAAGUUAAAAUUCAACCCUUAUACUUAUAUUAUUAUGAUUUAAUAAUUAUAUAUAUAUGUAUAAGAACAAAGUCGUCUUACCGCUAGUACGCCUCAUUCACGAAGCCGGUCUAUAAGGUGGGUAUAAGGUUGUUGCCUAUAAAAUGGUGACUUAAUGGGUGUCCACUCUCACCCACCGCUUGCUUGAUCGGUGGAGGGUCGUUAGCCGAACGGGUAAGACAAGGACUUAUUAAUUCUCAUUCAAAGUAUGAUGAAUAUUAUAAAGUAACUAAAUGUUUUAUUAAAUUCCCAAUCUUAGUUACUUUAGGAAAAAUGUGAAUAAGGUGCUAUUCCAUGAAAUUACACUUUACACUUUGAUUAAGUCGUUGGUGGAGCGUGUGUGGUUAACCGGCACACUAACUUGGACUUAACAAGGUAGGUAAAGGGUGACUUAGGGUUUAUUAUAGUAUCGAUGGAGCGUGUGUGGUUAACCGGCACAUCGAUUGAGUGAUAAACUUUAAGGGUACCAAGUGAUUUGCAUGGUUACUUCACACCUCGUUUUGUGAUCCUCGGUAUCCCAGUCACAAAACUUGGAGGGCACACUCGAGAUUGAAACAUGCCUUUGAAAAGUUCAUUGAAUCUCAAAGAAUCUAGGAAUUUCUAAGAACCAUUCAAAAACCUAAUACUAAAAUAUUGCGGUUUUCGUGGUGGAAAUUGGUGAAUCGUCAUUCACCUACCUUUCAAAUAUGAUAUAGCUUAGAUUACGGCAUACCUCUUCUAAGUUAUAUUAUAUUGUGAUUGGAUCCUAGCCUUAAUAUUACAUUUGGGUGUUUUAUUAAGGACUCUCUUAUAUCUAAACUAAUCUUGUCCUCUUUCCUUCAGAUGUCUUUCAACAAUGCUUCUGGCUCUAAUCCUAAUGGCUCCUUUACCCUUAUGAACUUGUGUGGGAAAGUCACCUUUGAUGGAUCCAACUUCAAUGAGUGGAUCAGAAACAUCAGGAUGAUUACCCGCUACGAGGACAAAGAAUAUGUCCUUGACAAGGAGCUUAAGGAGAUUGAUGAGUCCACUGCAACUCCUCAGGAGAUCGCUGAAUUUCGGGCACAUGAAAGGGAUGCUACGAAAGUGGCUUGCAUCAUGAUGGCCACGAUGACAGCGGAACUCCAAAAGUCUUAUGAGGAUUUCUACCCUUAUGAAAUGCACCAAGAUUUGAUGGAAAGAUACCAUCAAAGUGCAAGACAAGAGAGGUAUGAAAUCAUCUGCUCCAUGAUAACAACCAUGAUGAAGGACGGGGAAUCCGUCACGAGCCACAUGCAGAAAAUGCAAAGGUAUGUGGAUCGUUUGCUGAAGCUUAAUGUGAACUUCCCGGAGGAUCUUGCAAUAGAUAUUAUUUUGCAUUCCUUACCAUCGUGCUAUGAUCAAUUCCGCAUGACAUAUCACAUGAACAAGGAAGAAGUCACCCUCAGCAAACUUCAGGGACUUCUCAAGACCGCAGAAUCAGGUCUUAAGGGGAAGUCGGUUGCUAUCACUCCUACUCAAAACUCUACUCCGGUUUUGGCAAUCGGGAAAAGUCGAGGGAGGAAGAGAAAGAGCUCUUCUAAGGGUACCAAGGUUCGGACCCUUGAUGGCUCUUCUUCAAGUGGAACCAAGAAAGGUUUCAUUACUCCUUCUUCUGACCCAAAAGAGGCUGAAUGCUUCUAUUGCCAUGAAAAAGCUCAUUGGAAGCGGAACUGCCCAAAAUACCAGCAAGAUGUGAAGGAUGGGAAAGUUAAACCCAACCAUGCAGGUAUUUACACUAUCAUUUCUAAUAACUCACCCCAUUCUAAUUCUUGGGUCCUUGAUACCGGGUGUGGUAUUCACAUUUGUUGUGACUUGCAGGGACUAAGAAGAAGUGAGGAUGUGGAGCAAGGAAGGAUAAACUUGAUCAUGGGGAAUAGGAAAGCUAUACCUGUUACCAAGAUUGGAGUUUAUACUUUAUCGCUAAGUAGUGGGUUUAGUUUAGAUUUGAAUAAGUGUUGUUAUUCGCCAGGAAUGGCAAGAAAUAUUAUUUCCUUUCAUGCUUUGUACAAACAAGGGUUUACCUUUUCAUUUAAUAAUGAAGUUGGUUCUAUAGAUGUUUUCUAUAAUAAUGUCUUUUAUUUUAAAGCAUUACCUUGUGAUGGUGUGUAUGAAGCUGUAUCUGUUGUAGAUAACUUGGGAAAUAAUGUUUUGUGUAUUGAUUCUACUAAUAAUAACUUGGAUAAAGCAUCUUUAUGGCAUUGUCGUCUUGGACAUAUAAGCAAGAAACGCAUAGGCCAACUCCAAAAGGAUGGAGUCUUGGAGUCGUUUGACCUAAAGUCAGAUGAUAGUUGCGAAUCAUGCUUACUUGGAAAAAUGACAAAGUCACCCUUCACAGGUUCGUGUGAGAGGGGUGAAGGUUUGUUGGACCUUAUACACACGGAUGUGUGUGGACCAUUCAAACAUGCCACAAGGGAUGCUAAUCGUUAUUAUUUGACUUUUACUGAUGAUUAUAGUAGAUAUGGAUAUGUCUACUUGAUCAAGCAUAAGUCAGAGACUUUCGAGAGGUUUAAGGAAUUUAAACAGGAAGUCGAGAAUCAAUUGGGCAGGAACAUUAAGAUGCUUCGAUCCGAUCGUGGUGGUGAGUAUCUUAGUUCAGAGUUCCUCGACUAUCUAAGGGAAUGUGGGAUAGUCUCACAAUUGACACCUCCCAGGACACCACAGUUGAAUGGUGUGGCUGAGAGGCGUAAUCGAACCUUGUUAGAUAUGGUUCGUUCCAUGAUGAGUCGAGCUACGCUACCAAUCUCAUUCUGGGGGUAUGCCUUAGAGACUGCCGCCCAUAUUCUUAAUCUAGUCCCUACAAAGAAAGUUGCCAAAACUCCUCACGAGAUGUGGACUGGUAAAGUACCUAAACUAGACCACAUCAAGAUUUGGGGUUGCGAGGCUUUCGUGAGACGCGAGACUCAUGAUAAGCUCGAACCUCGAAGCGAGAGGUGUAUUUUCAUCGGUUACCCACAGCGAUCCUUUGGUUACCUCUUCUACAGACCUAGUGACAAUGUGGUCUUUGUAGCAAGAAGAGGAGUCUUUCGAGAAAGAGAGUUUAUAAGCCAAGGAGACAGUGGGAGGCAAAUUGAUCUUGAAGAAAUUCAAGAAUCAAGCGGUGAAGGAACUUCAAACUCUAGCCCUCAACUUGAGGAGGAAACUCCUGUUGAGCCAAUUGACAAAUCUGUACCUCUGAGACGUUCCACGAGAGUUAGGAGUGCACCUGAGCAUUACUAUGGAUUCCAUAUUACUGCAGAAGGUGAGACACUUAUUAGUGAUGAGACACUAGUAAGUCAAGAUGACCCUAACAGCUACGAGGAAGCCAUGGCAGGCCCCGAGUCUGCUAAAUGGAAAGAGGCUAUGGAUAGCGAGAUACAAUCCAUGUAUGACAAUCAAGUUUGGAACUUGGUUGAAAAUGUACCAGGUCGUAAGACAGUAGGGUGCAAAUGGGUCUUCAAGAAGAAGACCGACAUGGAUGGUAAAGUACACACUUAUAAGGCUAGACUGGUUGCAAAGGGCUUCUCUCAAAUUCCUGGAGUGGAUUAUGAUGAGACCUUUUCUCCGGUAGCCAAGAUUAAGUCUAUUCGGGUUCUGUUAGCCAUAGCUGCAUUUCAUGACUAUGAAAUAUGGCAGAUGGAUGUCAAAACCGCUUUCCUUAAUGGAAAGUUGGCUGAAGAUGUUUACAUGAGUCAGCCAGAGGGUUUUGUCAGCAACGAGUACCCUAAUAGAGUGUGUAAGCUUGAGAAAUCCAUUUAUGGAUUGAAGCAAGCACCUCGCAGAUGGAAUCUUUGCUUUGAUGAAAAGGUCAAGGAAUUUGGCUUUUCUAGGAGUGAAGAUGAAUCUUGUGUGUAUGUCAAGGCUAGUGGGAGUAUAGUUAGCUUUUUGGUAUUGUAUGUGGAUGACAUACUACUCAUAGGAAACGACAUUCCAACCCUGCAGGAAGUAAAGUCCUGGCUUGGGAAGUGUUUCGCUAUGAAGGACCUUGGUGAAGCUGCCUAUAUUCUAGGGAUAAGAAUCUUGAGAGAUCGGAGUAAAAGACUAAUUGGACUUAGUCAGAGUACCUACUUGGAUAAGGUGCUGAAGAGAUUCAGCAUGCAGGAUUCCAAGAAAGGAGAGUUACCCAUCCAGAGUAACACCAGAUUGAGUAAGACACAAAGCCCUAGCACUGAGGCUGAGAUAGCAGAAAUGAGUCGAACACCUUACGCUUCGGCUGUAGGAUCGAUCAUGUAUGCUAUGACGUGUACUCGACCCGAUGUAGCUUUUGCCUUGAGCAUGGUUAGCAGGUAUCAGGCGAACCCUGGCAAGGCACACUGGACUGCGGUAAAGAAUAUCCUCAAGUACCUACGGAGGACUAAGGACUGGGUCCUUACCCUCGGUGGGAGUGAUGACUUGAGAGUUGUAGGGUAUAGUGAUGCUAGCUUCCAGACUGAUAGGGAUAAUUUCCGCUCUCAGUCGGGCUGGGUCUUUACCCUAAACGGAGGAGCAAUUUCUUGGAAGAGUUCCAAGCAAGAGACAGUGGCAGAUUCUACUUGUGAAUCAGAGUAUAUUGCAGCUAGCGAAGCAGCAAAGGAGGCGAUAUGGCUGAAGAACUUCAUUGGAGACCUUGGAGUUGUACCAGCUAUUAAAGAGCCAAUGGAAAUUUUCUGUGAUAGUGAAAGUGCUGUUGCCUUAGCCAAGGAACCAAGGGAUCAUGGGAGAUCCAGACACAUCGACAGAAAAUACCAUUUCAUUAGACAUCGGAUCGAAGAAGGACUCCUCGUGGCAAAGAGGGUAUCAUCGGAUGAGAACCCAGCAGAUCCCCUCACGAAGGGACUGAGUAGGGUUAAGCAUCUCCAGCAUGCUCGGAGCAUAGGGCUGAAGGAUGAUAUAAGUUUUAGUAGUUAGAUAACCCAGAAAUUUGUAAAGUGUAAUUGACAUUUGAUGAUGAAUAAAAGGUGUUUUAUUUAUGAGUAAAGUGUUGCUAUCUCUUGUCAAUCGUUUACUAUAUUUCUUUUGCAUGUUUUGACUUCCAGAAUAAUUUUGUUUGGUGUAACAUAUUAUUCAAACCUCCACAGUCGGUCAUAUGUCGGAAGUAGGUAUGAAUCAAGACUGUCAUGAUGGGUUGUAGAGGUCUAAGGUGUUGGACAAGGCUACAACAAUCAUGAGUGCUCAUAAGUUCUGAGCAUUGGACUCAACCCACGCUCACUGGAAUCACUUCAUGGAAUUCUAUCUCGAGUGAUCGUGAGACGGUAAUAUCAUAUAAGUCUUCAAACCUAGAGAUAUGAUUUGUUACUUACAAGUUGGUUAUGCAUUGACUGUACGAAACCGCAUUGGUAACUCGAUGUUAUAAAACGUACUUUUGUGUGUAAUUCAAUGAGUGGUAGAACAAACAUAUGAGUCGAAGUUUAUCUGUUCCUUCUUGGAUUAGAAGCUGAUAUCUGGGCCCCUCGAUGAUUUUGUUUUGACCCAUGUACCGGGCCCGGUCAGAACUAAGUUGAUGUGUUCAAUUAAGUUCUAUGUCAAACAAAUCGGAAAUCGGGAAACAAAUGCUGGACAAUAAGCAAGACAAUGUUCCAUGUAUUUGUCCGGCUGAUAUCUAGAACGGAGGAUUAUAUGAUCACUUAUCUUAAAUGGCGUACCAUCAUCUUCUCAGUUCCGAGAGACCUUGAAAGAGCUACGAUUGCCGGUCGGUUCCUGAAGUACUAGAGAUAUAGUUAUUAGACUUAUCCAAGUGGGAGACUGUUGGAUAAGGUGUCUAAGUCCAUAACUAUUUCGGGCUUGUACUUGACCCGACCCGGCAUGGUCCAUUUGGGUUGCAUGGCACCAUGCAAUUGGAUAGACUAAAUGAGAGAAAUAACACUUGGAGAUUAUUAAUAUAUUAUAAGUUCUAAUAUAUUAAUAAUAUUAUUUAAUUAGUUGAUCAAAGAAUUAAUUUGGAAUUAAUUAAGUGAUCAAAGGAUACCUAAUUAAAUAUAUGGGUUGAUUAUGUAAAUCAUCCAUAUCUUGUAUAGUGGGCUAAGAGGCUCCAUGGAUUAUCAAGUUGGGUUCUACCCAUAGGAUGCUCCAUGGAUGCUCCAUGGGAGUUACAAACCCAUGGGUCAUGGAAAUGAAGAGUCAUGACACAUUAGGGUUUACAUGGNGUUACAUGGUGUAACCCUAGAUGUGCCAACACUAUAUAAGAGUCCCAUUCUCCACAAAAUUGGCUACACAAGCUAGACAUAAGAAACUAGAGGGCUUGGCCGAUUUUGAGAAGGGUGUGUUAUCUCAAGAGUCUUUCCAAGAGCAUUUGGUGUUGUGUGAAGCAUUUGAGGCAUCACACUUGGGGUGCUAGGCUCACAAGGUUUCAAGGAACACAAGCAACAACAAGGUAAGUUAUUCUAUCUAUGAUUCAAGUUAAAAUUGUUCCCCAUGUAUGCUAGAUAGGAAUAUAACCUUGGAAUUCAACUUUGCAUGAUAAUUAGACAAACAUAGAUCCAAGGUUAUUAGGGUUGCAUGUACACUUAGGAAGUGUUAGAAUGCUCAAAACCCAUCAGUAAUAGCAUCCCGCUGAUCAUCAGAAUAUGAACAUGUCGUCAAUCUCGCCCAGUCUUUUUCCCCGAGCCUAAGCAGGUUCAGAGCACACCCGACCUUCUGGUCAGCAGGACAUGAGCACGUGAAGAAACAACCCUCCAUGUCAGACAACCACCGCAUAGCCCUGAUCGCAUCCCGUGUACCAUCGAACGUCGGGGGCUUCGUAUUAUCGAAGUACCGGUACUGGAAAGCCCUGUCGUCUCCUCCUCCAACCCCUUCCGCAGUUACAGCUGAAGUGGCUGCAACGGCAGCUGUCUCUGCUAGAGCUGCAUAUCGCUCAUCAAAGUACUCAACCAUCGCAGUCUUAAUCGACCCAAACAUCUCUGGCAGCUGCGCUUGGAAUGCAGCAGUAAUCUCAUCGUGCAUGAUCUCCCGGAUCCUGGCAUCCAACUCCUCGACCCCUAUCUGAACCACGGGCUCAGGUGCUACCGACACCUCCAACCCUCCGUCUCCCGACCCCGAUCCUGAUCCUGAUCAUGAUCCGGAUCCCGAAGCAACACGCCUCGUCACCACCAUACUGAAAUAUAUAUACAAGUCAUCUAUUAAAUAACAUAAUGUCGGGAGACCAAAACCCCAAAANNNNNNNNNNNNNNNNNNNNNNNNNNNNNNNNNCAUCAGAUAAAUAACAUGAUGUCGGGAGACCAAAAACCAGAAACCCUAGGGGUUGUGAUUUCCUUGCUACGCAUAUGGGUCCUGUGCUUUCAGUAGUACGGGCCCAUACUACCUUCCUCACCUACCCAUAUUUGUCUCAAGUAUCACCAUAAUGCCCUAACAAUAUCAUCAAUCAUAAACAAAAUGUGCCCCAACCCUCACUUCUAGAGGAAGGCCAACUAUCUCGCAUCUAAUCCCACCACUUCUCAUGACUCCUACAUCCAUGAAACUUCCAUCAUCCCCUGCAGCGCUAGUGUAUGCUAGCUGCACAUAACGCUGGACCCAAUAGACUUCCAAAUAUCCAAUCCUUCCCGAAGACCGAAUCAACAUUCUCAGGCUAUAAGGUCUUUAUUACGCACAGUUGUGAUGCAUGCACUAAACAUCUACGGUUAUGAUGUCAAUUCCACAUACAAGAAACCCUAGGCUAAUAGGCAUCAUGCAAUCAGGCAAAUAUUUCAUGUGAUUCCUGAAGAUCCCUAGCCUAGCACCAACAUGUUGUUCUAACAUAUCAGAAUAUCAAAUAACUGCAUAGUAUUUUGGGGUUUACUUACAGGCUCCGGAUGAUCGUACCCUCUGCAUCCUCCAUCCUUUAUUUUGAAAACCAUUUUAAAACUUAUUUCCGAAAAUCUCCUUGAUUUGAGACUGUAUUCACACGAGUGUUCCUCCAAUUCACUCAAACCAAGGCUCUGAUACCAACUUGUAACAUCCAUGAAAUUCACACCAAAUUUAAACUUUUUCAAUCGUAAAUAAAACCAUAAAGCAUUGUUUACAAAAUGUUUUCAAAUCAUUUUCCAUCAGAGUGUCCCAAAAAUCAUAACAUAAGGAUGAGGAGUGGUACGGUCACGCCUUCACCUUUCCAUGGUCUCCUGAUGUACCUGAAACAACAAACUGAAAAACUGUAAGCCCGAGGGCUUAGUGAGCUACCCCCAAAAUACCAAUACCACACUGACAUUACCAAAACAGUAAUAAUCAAUCAAUCAUCACGCAUACUGGGCCAUUAGCCUGACUGGACCGCCCUACCGGGCCUAUAGUUUGUAUGAAUCUAUCCCGAGCCUUCGGCAUGACUGGUCCGCCACGUGGGCCUACAGUCUCCCCGGACCGCUCAUAGGGUAUGUUGGCCUUCAGCACAAAGCAGGACCGCCUCAACCCAACCAACAAGCAAAUAACCAUGUGCGCAUAGCUAUCAUAUACUGGCAUAUACAAACAUCAAGCAUAUCUAUCUCACUGAUCACAAUCAUAGAAUUCACCUGUAACUAGAGUACCAACCUAUCAGGUCCCUAACACACCAAUCCCAGCAGAUCAUAAAAGCAUAACAUACUGUCUACCUCGAUUCCGAACUAACAAAUCAUAAUCACAUGCAACAUGCCAUAACAAUAACAACUAAAGGUCCAACCUUGGUGUUGUAGACCCAAUCGAUAUAGUGAGGAUAAAUCACCUCACAGAUGUCGACUCGGAAGGUAGACUCCAACUCUCGGAUCACUCGAAAUAGGCCCCACCACCUAUAACCAUAGUUCAAUAUACGCAUAAGCAUUUAACCUUAUAAGGUACUCCAUAACCCAAUAGUCGACCCCUGAUCAAGGUCAAAGUCCUCAGUCAAGGUCAACAGUCCAUGUUGACCUCAACUCGCCGAGUACACCUAGCUACUCGCCGAGUCCCUUGAAGCACAAUCCAAAUCGCCGAGUCAUCGAGGGGACUCGUCGAGUUCCUUUGAAUCCCGAUCAAACCUUAAGGCCACCCGUCGAGUUCCCUCCUUGCGACUCGACGGAUAUACACACAAACAUAGUCUUGGUUAAAAAUCAUCCGACUCGCCAAGUUGUUCUUGAACUCAUCGGGUCCCUUGACAAUCUUCAUCGGACUCGCCGAGUUGUUCUUCAACUCGUCGAGUUCAAUGGCCAUCUUCAUGCGACUCGCCAAGUCCAUUCGGUCAUCUUUCCAUACAGAUCCAUUUUGAGCCAUGCAGCGGCUCCAAAUCGCAGAUCCAAGCUUCUAGAGCAUGCUUAUCACGUAAAGUUGCAAACUUUACGUGCAUGCAUGGCUUAAAAGGCUCAAAAUGGCAAAUCUAAGCUAUUGAUGGGUCUUCAUGCACAAAGGGGACCUCAAUCAUGACUAAAGCUGCAACUUUAUGCUUCUAGAACCCCAAAAGAGUCCAGAUCUGAAGUUACAACUUCAGAUCUAGCCCAUAGCUCAUCAUACCAACUUGAUAUUUCAUGAAAACCCUAAAACUCACCCAAUAUAGGAGAUCUAUAAGGAGAAUGACGGUUUCGGUACCUUUUGAAGUUGAUAUCUGAGAUGAGUGUUGAUUUCCACACUCCAAUUGCUUCAAUCUCCUUCUCCUCCAAGUCUUCUCCCUCCAUGAACUCUCUUUCAAGAUUCAAACACACACAAAAGGCACACACACACGAAUAAGGAUCUCAAGGGUUCUUUGGAACUGUAAGGAGGUCCAAGGGAGGCUAAGGUCCCUUUUAAUAGGGGUGCAAACCCCGGGAAUUAGGUUUUCACUUGCCAGCUCCUACUCGCCGAGUCCCAUUAUGGACUCGCCGAGUAGGUCACUUAACCCGUGAUCCUUCUCACUGCUACUCGACGAGUAGGUAAACCAACUCGUCGAGUAGGGCCAAAUCCAAAAAUUCAUAUUAACCAUACUUGAAAAUCCGGGCGUUACAUUAUCCAUGCAAGUUUUUUUUGAAAUACAAAUUGUCUAUCUUAUCAGUUUGUUAUUUAGUGUAUGUUUUACAUUUUAAUAGUAGUAUUAAGUGUUUCUUAAAAGUAUUCUUUAACUUAUUACUAAUAAUAAAUGGUUUAAAACUAAAUAACAAUAAUUUUAAAUGAUAAUAACAUCAAUUUAUAAAUUACAUAACGUUAACAAAAAAUAAAUUAUAUUUUAAAUGAACAUCAUUAUUGAAACUAGAAAAUAACCACAUAAGUAAAAAUUUAAAUUAAUCAAUCAUAACUAUUGUUAAAAAUAAUAUUAAAUAGAUAAUUAUAUUUAAUUUUAUUAAUGAGGAAGGUGGGUUGAUGCCAAUGAAUAAUAUUUUUCAAAAUAUUUUGUUAAAGUUAAUGUUAAUAACAUAACCAUUUUAAACAUAUAUUUUUAACCUACGCUGCGCAACGUGCGAGAAUUCGUCUACUUGCAAUAUAACACGUUGUACUUUACUAAUUUUCUUUUGAGGGUUUUGAAUAUGUGAUCGGACCUAAUGUAACGACCCAAAAAUCAAGGGUAAAAAUUUCGUUUUUAAUAUAGCUAAAACAUUGAUACCAUUUAUUUCAAACAUUUCAAAUCAUCAUUAAGUAAAACAUUUAUCAGAGUUCAUCCCAAAACCAUUCAUUGCGGAAAAUCAUAGGUGUGUGUAUUGCAAUCAAUCCAAGCUCUUCUCUUCCAAAUCGAUAAUACCUGAAACUAAAACUGUAAACCGUAAGCACAAAGCUUAGUGAGUCCCUUAGAGCAUACCCCACAUACAAUCCACAUAACACAUAUCGUAUUAGCUAUAAAAGUUAUCUCUAACACAUAAGCCCUGUAUAGAAUCAUAUAAGGAAGCCAUGGAAACCCUCCAAGGUCUUACACCUACUGCCAUGGGAACCUCCACGUGGUCUUAUCUGCCUUGGGAACCCCCACAAGGUCUUCCUGCCAAACAUUACAUAAUGCAAACUAUACAUAUAAACAUAUGUUAUAAACAUACAAACAUAUAAGGAUGCCCUGGAAACCCUCCAAGGUCUUAAACAAGGUGCUACGGGAACUCCCAUGUGGUCUUAGCCCAUUGCCAUGGGAACCCCCACAUGGUCUUAGCCUAGAAAGCCAUGGGAACCCCCACAUGGUCUUAUUUCCAACUGCCUCGGAAACCCCCCCGGGGUCUUCCAUGCAAGUAUCACAAAGACAACUAGCAUACCAAAUACUACAUAAUCAACUAGCAUACUACAUAUAUAUAACUGUUUUCCAUGGGAACCCCCACAUGGUCUUCACAUAAUACAUAGUGUAUCAAUAGCACAUUCACAACAAUCAUCACAACUAGAUAAAUGGGCCGGCCUUGGUGCCUUAGACCCAUUGGUAUGGUGAGAAGACUCACCUCUCGAACACUGAACCGAUAGGCUGAAGUCAGACAUAUCCCACACGCUGCUCCUUAUCAACUGCCCAUAGUCAUCAGGUGAUUAGCUUGACACAAUCCCAUAAAUACCCUUAGGUCAACCCUGGCCAAAGUCUAUGUCUGUAGUCAAGGUCACCAGUCCAUAUUGACCUUGACUCACCGAGUACAAUUAGCCACUCGUCGGAUUCCCUGCUUAACUCAUCGACUCGCCGAGUCAUCAGAGAGACUCGUCGAGUUCCUUGAUGUUUACGACCGUAAACUCCCAACCGCACACUCCUGACCGUGAACCCUUGGCCGUGAGCCCUAUCGACUCGCCGAGUCACAAGAACGACUCGACGAGUUCCCACGUAUUCGAUCCUUUCUAGUGGGAUUUAAGGUCCCAAACUUCAGAUCCAUAAUCUUGUAGUGAUAAUACCAUGUAAAGUUGCUAACUUUACAUUCAUACUAAGUCUCAUAAUGCCAAAAACACAUCAACAAGCUUCUUACAAGUCCCAAAUGUGUGAAUAAGAGUUAGGGUGCACCAAGGAGACAACUUUAUGACAUAUGGGCCCUAAGAAGUUCUAGAUCUGGAACCAUAUCCUUGUGAUAGGUCCAGAUCCAAACUUGGUUCCAUUUCCUCAAGAAUGGCCAUAAUCUCCACAAAGAAAUCAAAGCUUAAAGUAGCAGAUUAAUACCUCAGACAAAUCCUUAACAUGAAAUAGGUACUCGAUCUAGAGCUCCUCCCAUGAUACUUCCUCUUCAAGCUUGAAAUCCACCCCAAAAUCCCAAAGACAAGCUCCCAAAUGCUCUCUCUUCUCUCACAAGAGGUUUGCGGCCGCGAACAGCUUCUAGGGUGUAAAAUAUAGGCUACUAGGGUUUAUAAUGAUAUUUAUAUAGGGGCAAUCCCAAAAUUUAGGGUUUUCUUUAAACAGCUCGGACUCGUCGAGUCGACCUUCGACUCGCCGAGUCGGUCCCGUUCCGCUUUUCCUGAUCUCACGACCCUACUCGACGAGUUGACCUCCCAACUCGCCGAGUCCAUGCAUAAAUCCUUUCCAAUUCAAACCAGGUGUUACACCUAAACCUUACAAAUUCCAACUUCUAGGCAUUAUGUUUUUGUAUCGGCGUUGACCAAACUAAGGAUUAUUCGCAUCGACGUGUGUUUAAUCUUUUGAGAAUAUAUUCAAAACAGCUCGAAAUGCAUCGGUUUUAAAAUAUUGACAACUUACUUAUAUAUAACAACUUACUUAGAGGUUUGGAAAUUCAAAUAGGAGUUUGAUUUCUUUUUUCUUUUUCUUAUAUAUAUAUNNNNNNNNNNNNNNNNNNNNNNNNNNNNNNNNNNNNNNNNNNNNNNNNNNNNNNNNNNNNNNNNNNNNNNNNNNNNNNNNNNNNNNNNNNNNNNNNNNNNNNNNNNNNNNNNNNNNNNNNNNNNNNNNNNNNNNNNNNNNNNNNNNNNNNNNNNNNNNNNNNNNNNNNNNNNNNNNNNNNNNNNNNNNNNNNNNNNNNNNNNNNNNNNNNNNNNNNNNNNNNNNNNNNNNNNNNNNNNNNNNNNNNNNNNNNNNNNNNNNNNNNNNNNNNNNNNNNNNNNNNNNNNNNNNNNNNNNNNNNNNNNNNNNNNNNNNNNNNNNNNNNNNNNNNNNNNNNNNNNNNNNNNNNNNNNNNNNNNNNNNNNNNNNNNNNNNNNNNNNNNNNNNNNNNNNNNNNNNNNNNNNNNNNNNNNNNNNNNNNNNNNNNNNNNNNNNNNNNNNNNNNNNNNUAUAUAUAUAUAUAUAUAUAUAUGUGUGUGUGUGUGUGUGUGUGUGUGUGUGUGUGUUGGCGUAAUUAUUUUUAUGAUUUACGGACGAUUUAGUUGAUUUUUCUUAUUUUUUAAUAGGAAACUUAUAUUGUAUCUUAAAUGCUUAGCCCGAUUUUACACGCGUUACAUCUAACCCAAGCCAACCCAUGUAACAUCGUAAAUUUCCAAACAAAAUUUUCAUUUUAAAAUCAUAUAAUUCUCAUAACGCAUUUCAUAAAUUCUCAUUUAUUUAGUUUACAAAACGCAUCUCCAUAAUUGUUUGAUUAAUAAUCCAUGAUCCUCAAAAUAUAACUCUUUCUCUGGUGUGUACAAUCGAGUCGGUGCCUUCCCGCGGUCCUGAGAAAAACCUGAAACACAUAAUACAUAACACAGUAAGCAUGAAGCUUAGUGAGUUCCCCAAAAUACCACAUACACAGCUCAUUAGCCACUCGAGGCUAUAUCAAUGUAAGACCCUCCGAUCAAUGUGUCUCAUUGGGACCCUCCAGUCCCACGGUUCGUUGGACCCUCUGGUCCGGUCUGUAAAGCUCCGCAUAGCAUAAAUCACAAAGACAUAAUGCACUGCAUACAACAUAAGACAAGAUAACAUAAUACUCAAUAUAAGAACAUAAGAACCUCCGGUCACACAUAAGUAUCACUCUAGGUAAAGUAUAGUGAGAAGACACAUAAGUACCCCUCCUCACCCGCUUAUUCUUUUCCCAUUCCAGCUACUCCAACACACCAACCAGUUUUUCAUCUUCUCCGGCAAGAAACAAGUGCCAAAUAUUAAACAAACCAGAUUAAAUCAAAAUAAUGUCAAUCUAAAUAGAACAGGAAAAUGACACAAAUGCCCUACGGACUUUCUAGGGUUUACCCGUUGAGUCCCUCAAGUUUUUUUCGGUUUUUAUGGGUCCUUAAACGAGGAUAUUUUUAGUCACUGUCAACCAGUAAUAGUCGGUUCGGUGACCUUUUAAGCUAAAAAAACUCACAUUGUGCCCCUAUAAAGCCAACAAAAUAAGUUUGGGGAUCAAUUCGUACAAAAAAAAUUGUCCUUCUUUUCUUCUAAAGCCGAUUCACACUCAAUUUGAAGAAAAAAAGAGAUUAAAUCUUGCUUUCUCUGUGAACCUCAUCAAACCCACACAUCCUUUUCAACAUGCAUCCAUCAAACUUUCAACUCAGAGGGAGAAUGAGAGGUAGGCUGUGCGAUUUUGAACAUAGAAGAAGGAAGGAGGGGGUUAAUUCCUUAAAGAGCUGAAAUCGAAUCAAAGAAAAUAAUGGAAGGGGGUUGUGAUCGAGAAUCGAUUAGAAGGGGAAGAGGUUUGUGACCUUUACUGAGUGUGUGUCACAAUCGGGGUGAAGACGGAAAGAAGAGUAGCAAUCGAUUCCUUGGGAGGGUACAAAUUGAGUGUGAAUCAGGUUUAGAAGAAAAGAAGGAGAGUUUUUUUGGUACAAAUUGAUCCCUGGACUUAAUUUUUUGGCUUUAUAGGGGCACGAUGUGAGUUUUUUUUGGUCUAAAAGGUCACUGAACCGACUAUUAUAAGUUGACAGGGACUAAAAGAGCAGGUCAUAUCCUAGUUCAGGGACCCAUAAAGCCCGCAAAAAAACUUUAGGGACUCAAUAAACCCUAGAAAGUUCGUAGAACAUUUGUGUCAUUUUCCCAAAUAGAAUCAUACCGGAAAACUUUUUUGUUCGUUACAAGGAAAUAAGAAAUGCAAGAAAAUCAAAUCUAACAAACUUGAGUCGAACCAAAUACAAAAUAAAUACCAUUAGUUCAUGAACAUGGAAACCAAAAAAAAGUUCUUUCAGACAUGAAUCAAAGCAAAUCUAAAUCAAAUUUAGCUCCCGGAUCUCUGGAAAUCCAAAAUAAUUAAAGAACCACUUUAUCGUCUACAACAACAUUGCAAAAGAUCUCUAAAAAGCUUCAAAAUCGAAUCCAAAUCAGUUGCCAAAAGACCUUCAAACUUUUCACUUCGAAACCGAUUUCUUCCUUCAAAAAUGAAUCCUUCAGAUGCCAAAAACCCAUCAUAUUUGCAUUUUGAUUUCUUGUUCCACCGUAACCAUAUAUAGAACUUUUCACCUUCAAAAUCCCACAAUGAAACUCUUAUUAAGAAUAAAUAUGAACUUGAAAUAUUUAAGCUACAUAGAAACCCAAGACGAAGAAGGAUUCAAGACAAUGGAUUUGUAAAUAAUCAAAUACCCCAAAUCAACCUUCUUCAAAACUCUAUUCGUUAGGUUCUUAGACGUUGGAAAUAUUCAAGUCAUCGUGGUUUGACAGAAGAGAGUGAUGGAGGUCUCACUAGGUUUCCAUGGAAGAUUACAUCUUCUGUAUAUCGAGCUUUACAUGUGAGAGACAUGAAUUUCUAUUUUUUUUUAGGUGUUAGAAGAUUGGUGGAGACAAAGAGACGAAGGAGAUGAAGGGUUGCCGACGAUGGUGGAUUUUUCCGGCAAGCAUAGGUAUAGAAGAGAUGCGGCUGUUCUUUUAGAGAUCCAUGAAGAAAAGGUAAAAUGGAUGAAGAAAUGAUACAAAGGUUUGAUACAAUACAUCUUGUGGAGGGGUGAGAUGGUGGGACCAUCUAUAUAUUAAACAAUGUCAUUAACUAAUACAUAAUUUAAAAAAUAUUAAAUUAAUCAGAAAGAAAAUAUACAAGGGCAAUAAAGUCUUUUUAAAGUUUGGUAAGGACCAAAUUUUUUUUUUUUUUUUUUUGGACCAAGCUUCAGAGUUCAGACUACGCCAAACCGACCAUUCAUGUAAUUUACCCCAAAAUCAAAACCUUGUCCUCGUAAGUACUGCAUAGUUUUGAAUCAAAUCAAUGAGCGUGUUCGGAGGAGACAGUUGGGGGAGAGAAGCACAGUACCGGAAGAGGAGAGUCGACGAUCUUCUGCUGGAUACAGCCGCCGAUCAUUCUUCCUACAGAAAGCUUCCUACCGGAAAAUAUGCCUGCCUCAUCUGCCCUCAUAAUCCCGUCCUCGAUACUGCUCUCAUGCUCUCAGUAUGUUUCCUAUUCCCCUCUUAACCCUUACUCUAACCCUAAAUAAUCAUUUUCAACUUAGUAUUAGCAUAUCCCUUUAUGUUCGAUUUUGAUGAGUUCAUUGUAAUUCUCGUUAAUGUCGAUUUGGGCGUAAUCCAUCCUCGAUUUAGGGAUUCAUCCAUCAAGCUUUUCGUUUGUAAUUGUGAACUUCCGAUUUAGUAUAAUUAAUCGAAAACUGAUAUUUGGAAAUCAAUUUGCAGAUGCACGUGAAAGCAAGACGACAUGUUGAUGCAGAAAUGAGGCUCAAACAAAGAGAAGAAGAAAGACAAAAGGAGUUGAAUAAGCGAAUGGCCUUUUCACUUGAUUCUACUUCCAUGAGCAAGACAAACUUAGCUAGCAAACCUUUGAUUGAAAAAACACGAAAGGCUGCUUUUGAGGUACUUCACCAUGGUUAUAUUGAACAAAGUAGCGCAAAUUACAGCCAAUCUAGAUGCUCGAUUUCUGAGAAUGCACCAUAUGAUUCAACCACUUCAAGAUUUGGUGAAACUGAGGCAUCUGGUAAGGAUAUUGUGAAGAUGCCAUUAGAUUAUCGAGAAAGAAGGGAGAGAGAACUCAAGUUUACAUCUGCUGGUUGGAAACGUGAUUGCCAUGGAGGGUGGUUCAGAGAUGAAAAUGUAAUUCCUUUUUUUUUGUUCCCAUUAAUAUAUUUGUGAUUUUAAUUCAUUUUCCAAAGUAUUUUGUGAUAUUGAUACAACUUUCAUGUAGGUUGAGUUUGAUUCUGAUGAAGAAGAUCCAAACGUGUCUCUUGCAAAUGGAGAUUGAUGAUGAUUGAUCAAUGCCUUGGUUGCCAAAAUUUGGAAGCAACUUCUGGCAGACGAAUCAAUGGUGCAGAUCUGAUACAAUACUCUCUUUUCUUUAGGAAUCUAGUUAUUUUCUUAAAACGAGUGUAGAAGAAUACAACUAUAUUCACAAAUGAAUAUACACAAACUCUACUGUAUAUACAAACUUUUUGGGUUAUCCAUAAGCAAAUUGUUCAUGUAUUGCAUCAUCCAAAGAUGUUUCAUGAUAUGUAGAGGAAUGCUUUAUCCUUCCCUUUUACCUCGAAACAAUUUCCUAUCUGGUAUCAUUUUUAUUUUUUAUUUUUACUUCUUCAGUCUGUUGAAUUAAGAAAUAGAUUGUUAGAUAAUUGUUUAUAUUGUAAACCAUCAUGUAGAUAUAUAGCAAAAUACAACCAUAUUCAUAUAUGGAUAUAUACACCUAAAAACUAAGGCUUCUACAUAUAAUGUCUACAUACCAACAUAUUCAUAAAUAAAUAUAAACACGCAUUUAUGAUUAUACACUUUCAUCGUGUACAUGUAUCUCCUAUUUCAUCUCCUGUUGCUUUCAUAGCCUUUUUUGAGGACUUCCGGUUACAUGUAACCGAAUAGGGAAGUUGCAACUUUCCCUUUUGUGCGCUAAGUACCACCUGUUGCAAAAUACGGACAUCUUGCAUUUGUUCCUUGUGGGUGUUGUUGUUCUUAGUUUGAUGACAACUCAAGCCUUAUAAUUCAUCGAUACUUAAUUUUAGUAAGUUUGAUAUGCUUUAUUUUUAGCAACUUUUAACAAAUGUAUUUUAUGCAACCAAAUUUUCAACAAACAUACAUAUGCACAAAAACCGGUCUUCUAAGCCCAUCGACAAAUGUGGAUUCUAGGGACUUUCUUCGCGUAUCAUCCUCAACCGGUAUCAUCCUCAAUCGAGGAAAUGACAUUAAGGUGGUGUUUGUUUUUUAUCUGCGGAUCUUUUUGAUAUCUUUUGUCUGCGCCGUGCAGACCAUAUCCAGACAUUAGUUAUUAGCUUUUGCAGAUUGUUUGUAUUUUAGAUAACCUCAUACCUAAAAAGGUCUAUCCAUCCUCUUGUUGAUGCAAUUGUAAACUAAACAUCUUCAUACAUUUAGACUAAAAAACAUCAUUUUUUUCGAAUGCCUCUUUUUUUUUUUGUUCUUCGAAUACCUUUUUUUUUUUUUAAUUUCUGCAAACAUUAAUAUUUUUUUGAAUUUUUUUUAAUAUUUUCCCAUUUUAACUACAACGAAAUACAAUAAAUAUCAAAUAUAUUCAUUAAUUCACAACAUUUUAAUUUUAUUUUUUUAUUAUAAUACAUUGUUUAAAAAUGACAUAAUUAUUAUAUUGUCGUUAUAAUACAAAAUAAUUUAGGCACAUAUUAAUCAUAAUAUAAUGUCAGGUAAAAUUAAUAAAAUAAAAAAUGGUAAUGAAAAAUGAAAAUGUUAUACAAUAAUACAUAAAAUUUGAUCUAAAUUUGUUAACUAUUAUAUAAUAUAUUAAUACAUAUGCGAGCUAUGAAUAGUGUCAGUUUUGCCCUUAGUUGUUUCUAGUUUUGCGUCCUACGGCUGGGGUAGAGCCGAUUUGUGUCCGUUGCUUGACUUGAAGCCGAUUUCGUUACAUGUAGGCUAUUUGUUUCACUAUUUCACGUCCAAGUGUGUUUGCUGUUUGGGGUUAAUUCGAAUUUCAUCAUGCCUAAUCCAGAUCAUUAUCAUCUUCGUUGCCUCCUUGAUUGCUUCCCUCUUCCCAGAAAAUCCAUUUCAUGUUCCCUAUGGAAACAGGGAACAUACUACACCGUUAGAUAUUUUUCCUUCCAUUCAUUGGGGUGUAACAUUCAUUAGGGUGUACGAAGGAGCUGGUGAUCGAACGACGACCAUCUUUAAAGAUUGUAUUCCUUUUCCGCCUGCUUCCAUCAACGAUUGGUCGGAUACGUGUAACACCCUAAUUUCCAUUUAAUUUAAAUAGUUAUAAUUAUGGGUCAUAAAAUUAAAGUGUGGGGUUACAAAUUUGGAUAUUUGAAUUUCUAAUAGUUAAUUUUAUAGUUCAAGACUAAGUAUAGGGGAGUAUGAAAUGAAAUUAUAAUUACUUGAAGGUCAAAUCGAUGAUAGUUGGAACUAUGAUGAACCGAAAUGAGAAUUGAGGACUUAAAGUCAAAAUAUUGCAAAAGGUACAAUUGGGGUCUUAGGUAGAAUUUUGUUAGCCACUUAAGAACCCUUAAACACAACUUAACCCUAAUAACCAUUUUGCUUUGGAAUUUUGAAGACCUUUCAGCAAUGCUUGGACGAUCCCUGAUGAUUCAAUCGGUGUAUCGUCAAGAAAUUUGGAGAGCAGCUUCCCAAAACAUAUAUUGAAGUUUUGACCGUUGGAAUUUCAAUUUCAAGGUCUGGAGCUCGAGUUACAGAUCAUCGAUCAUGGUUAAGAAAACAUUUUUAAUUAAGAAUAUUUUUAAUUUAAAUAAUUUUCAAGGUAUAAGUAUUUUCAAAAGAAAGAAUGUGAGCAAUCAUUUUUUUAUGCAAGAUUAAUGUAUGUUUUGCUUUAAUAUUUAUUACAUGCUAAAAAUAUAUUUAAAUGUGGGCACAUGGUUAUUAAGGUCUCGAUAUAGAGCCUAUGAUCCUACAAAUAGAUAUACGAUUAUGAAUUAUGAUUAUAUUAGAACCGAGUCUACAACAAGAUCUGUAAUGAGUCUUAAGAUACCUAUAAGUGUUUGUCAUAUACAAUCAAUUUUUUAGUGUGUGAGGUGUUACCGAAUGGUAUCAAAGAAAUACUCUCUCGAGAUACAAUGAGUUGGCAACCAAUGAAACUCUUCCACUAAUGAUUUCGGGUAUAGUAUAUAGACUUGGUGAUUACAUAAGUUGUUUGAGUGAGGGAAUUGUAAGAACUUGUUUCAUAUCGAUAGAAAAUAAGAAGUUUAAAGCCUUGUAGGUAUUAGGUUGUUAAGUAAUAUAUUAAUUAACAACCUAAUACCUACAAGGCUUUAAACUUCUUAUUUUUUAUCGAUAUAACACAUAAUGAUAAAAUUAUCAUGGUUUUAAGUUGAUCCCAAAUAGAAUGUUUGAUAUAACUCAUUCCAUGUUGAUAAAAAAAGAACAGGAACUUUGAACAUUACAUAAGAUAUAACUUGUGGAUUAAAAAUAAUUUCAUCUUGGUUUUAAAUUUGUCGGGAAUAUUAUGUUGGUUUAUUACUUUUAAGUUUGAAAUCUUUUACUUCAACCAAAAGCUUGAAGUGUCGAGUGUUAUUGUUACACCGACUCAUUUGUGAGCGAGUAACCCAAGAAAGGAGUACGCUUUAACUCCAUGCUUUUCAAAAGUUAAAUUGUCUUUAUUUACCCAAAAGUGGUAUGUAGCAUGAAUCAUUAAGAAUGACAAAAUGCCAAUUCAAUUAGCAAUUAGUCAUAAUUAACUACAUUUUUCAUCACUUUACAGAACUUAACCACUUUGAUUGUGGUAAUUAGGUAAUACAAUGUGGAAACUAGAAAAUGUGAUAAGUGACUCAUUGAUUCAUAUUCAAAUCCUCUUUGUGGUCAUGAAGGUCCGUCUUUAUUAACUCCUUGACAACGAGACAUAGUAUUAUGUUCAUAGUGGAUGAUUAGUACCUUCGUCAAGAAAGUUCAUUUCCCCCCAAAAAAAAAAUAACUUUUGAGCUUGGUUUAUUAAAAAAAAAGAUUAUUAAUGUAAGAAUAUAAUUUUAAUAUUUAUAUUUAAUGCAUCAAUUGUUUGUAAAAAUAAAACAAAAUUAAACAGUUCGAUCCUAUCAAACUUAGAACAUUCACAAUUGUGAGUUCAAUGGAAGAGUUGAAUGAGGUGUCAAGUCUUGUGUCAUUCAAUGGAUGAAACUAUUAUGAGAUGUCAUCUUAGCAUUCAAUGGAUUUGAAGUUCAAUGGAAAAGAGGAAAGUCUAUAAUUCUUAAAUAUUUACUAUAAAUUAUAUUUUGUUACAUUUUAUUGAACUUUAUAAAAUUCAAUGCAUUUUAGUAAAAAAUUAUAGAUUUGUAUGAGAUUUUAAAAAGAUGACGUAGCAAACUUUAGUUAGAGUACAUCAAAAUUUACGCAUACUAACUUUUUUCUGUGGAUACGUGUGCUUUACCGUGUAUGAGGAUGAAAAAAAAGGAAACAGCAAACAUGCAUAUAAUGAUGACAAAAAUGCAUGCUAGUCUCCUCUACAAUGGACAUAAAAUUCACUUUUCAUAGGUAUAUUUCCUCUUUCAUGCAACUUACGAUUUUUAAUGCAAGAAAUAUUGGUGCCGCAUAUAAUUUUACUUUUAUAUUUACAAAAGAAAAGCAUUGAUUUAAUGUAUAAUUUAUAAAUCAUUAUAUUAUAAAUCAUAUAUUUACCAUAUUAUGAUUAUUAUAUAAUCGAGAUAAACCUCAAGUUAUAGAAGCUAAUAAGAGACCUAAUGUAUUAUAACUUUUAAAACUCAGUAAAUCAAUUGUUGUAAGUUUCUAAAAGGGUUAAUAAAAUAAAUUAAAGACCAUUAUGCAUUAGGCUUUCUCAGGAUUAAAGCUUAAGUUUAUUUAUUUAUUUUUUUUACCGAAUUUAUAAAAUUCUAGAAUUGAAUUGCAAGGGUACGUGCAGGAUUUAAAAAAAAAAACCUUUAAUGAAGGCAUUUCGGUGGAAUUUAUUGGAUUUAAAUUAUCUUUAUUAUUUUUUUUUACCAAAGUAGGAAUUGGUCAAAAUUCAAUUCCAAUUCCAACCAAAUCCUCUAAACACCAUCAUACAUAUAGUCAAGGAGAUAGGGAUCUUCCUUGAUCAAUGAUGAAGAUAAUGAAGUUAUUUCAUGGUGAACAACAUAACAAACCGAGUAUUAGAGAACGAUGACAGAUUGCGAAUAUGAAGAAUAUUAUUGGAUCGAAAUAUGAAAACUAAGACGCAGUUUAUUGUAUCUAAUAACCAAAGAUUCCAACUUGGUAGAUCAUUUUAACUUGGUAAUUGGUAUAUAUAGUAAAUCAUCUAAAUAUGUAAUCAUUAGUAAAAUCUUUUAACAAACUUUACAUUAUAUCAAAGAAAAAGAAUCAAUAAAAUCAGAAAAUACUACACUCGAUCCGGAUUCAUACCAUGAACAAUGAAUCACACGAACAUCAUCUUCCUCGAGAGACUUCACGAAGAUUGUGACUGAACCCUAAGCAACCUAGCAACCCAGAUUUGUACGGCAAGAAUGUCUUGUUCUUCAUCUCCUCCGCCAUUGCCCUGUUGGCCGUGUAAUGUAUUUCAUGGGCUGAAACCUUCCUCUUCAUGCUCCUCCUUCUCGAUGACCCACCUACAGAACCACCGCCAUCGCUGCUUCUAAAGCUUGAGUUCCUUGUAUCCUGUUCUCCCUUCGUUAUCAUCGCGUAUUUCUUUAAUGGGUCGUCGCUUGUUGCUGCACUUCCCUCCGAUGUGCUCCGGAAAAGUAAUAGGUUCUUGAGGUUCCAUUUAUUGUACCACAUGAAACCAAACGGAGAUGAUUGAUUUGUACUUGAGACCUUCUGAUGAUCUAAUAAUAUGUCGGAAACCCUCAUCGGAGAUAAGGACUGUGAUGUUUUGUUUCUGGUGGUGGUAAUCGUUCUUUCUCUUCCUCGUGGGCUUUGAUUCAAUGCAUUUGAGAAAGGUUCAGAAUAUUUCUUUUUGUAAUUCACAGGAUAUAACUUCGGUGAUCUGGGAAGAGUAAGAUCUUUUGAUGAUUGUAGUAGUGGUUGUGGAUCUAACGGCUUGAUCUUUCCGCCGUAAAAUAGCUCAUCGGCGGCGGAGAUCAAUGGCCGUUCCAACUGUCCACUGAAAUCAAAAGCAAAAUCUGUAUCAUAACCUUCUUCGUAAUAAUCCGAGUUUUUCUGUUCAUGAUUUUCGUCACAACUUUCGAAAGGUUCUGUGGAUUGGAAAUCAUCAGCAGCUUCUGGGUCCAUCGGAGAAACGCCGACUGGGCUAGUCGGUGCACUGUAAAAGAAACUGGAAAGUAAAAUUUUGGGGCUUGAAGGUGCGGUGGCGUACGGGGAGGUGGAGGUGCUGUCAAAGUUGAAGUCGAUGGGUGCCGACGACGGGAUUAACAGCUGCGGAUCCAUGGUGGUUGCUGAAAGUGCGGUGGCGUCUUUUCGAGGACGAUGAGUGAGUUUAUAUGUAUGAAAAAUGAACGGCGAUCAGUCAUCAGCCGCCUUCGUUUGCUUUCAACUAAUUAGUUUAUUUUUAUAUUUAAAAUUAAUUAAUAAAUAAUACGCCCGCCAAAAAAUAAUAAUGGACAAUUGGUGUUUGUUCACCCUCUUUUGUUAAUGUAAGCGACUUAUGUUCGAAUUUUAUAAAGUAAUAUGUCACGUUUAACAUUUAGAAAAAUAUAAAUAUAUUGUCGUAAAUUAUUUUAUUUAUUAAAGAAUAAAGAGAUCAAUGUCAAUUAUAUGAUGUAGCACAAACAUAAUUUAAACGAAAAAAAAAAAAUUGUACAAGUAUAAUUAUAAAAGAUCAGUAUAUUUUAUACAUCAAAGCAUAUGAAAGAUGUUAUCCAUUUUGUGAAUAUAUUUUAAUUGCUGGAAAAGCACGAGUUUGCUCUUUGGCAAAGGACAUUUUCUAAUCACAUGCGGACAAAAAAACCUUUUGACUUUAUUGGUAUUGCUUUUUUGACUUUAUUUUUUUCUUCCGAGAUUAAUUAUGUUUUUUUAAAUAGUUUUAGUUACUAACCAUUAGAUAUCAUGGUAUAUAUUACCUUUUUGAACGUUUUAGAUUAUUUGACUCCGUGAAAAAAAAUGAACAAAUGACAUACCAUCUUAUGUCAUGUUUCUAAAAAGAAGGUGCAAAAGAUAAACGGAUAAUGAUUCGAGAGUGCACCGUAUUUUAGUUUUUGGUUACAUUUUGUUAUUAAAUUAAUUUUCAUGUUAUAUUAGCCAUUGAACUUGUUGAAACGUGUACAUUAUACCAGUAUGACCGAUAACAGUGAGUUUUGCUAGUUUACGACGUUGCUUUUAGCCAAACAUGAGUUUUCCGGUCAUCUUUUCAGGUCAAACUCGAUUUUCCGGCGAUGUUUCCGGCCAAACUCGAAAUAGCAUCUAUGAACGACCUGAGCUUAGGGGGCUAUUCCAGCAGCUGUUGCAGCGAAUGGAUUGCUUCGGUGGCCUUCUUGGCUGUUCUUCUACAGAUGUCCAUAGAAAACACGAAGGGGAGGGGCAAGGCAAAUCAGUGAUGAUCAGGGAGAGUUUGUUGGUGUGGAUUCGAACGAGAAGGGAGGAGAAGAACGGUCGGGGGCCUAUUAUCCUUUUGACUGCCGGAAGACACCACCUCCGAUGGAGGGUUUCUUGAUUGAAAUUAAAGAAGAAUGAGGGAGGCAAGGAGUAGAACAGAACAACGAUUUUCACGGGGUGUUUUGCUGCUUCAAUCAACAGGAAGGAGGUGGAGCAAGAGGCUGCUGCCUCUUGAUGAUUUUCGAGGAAACAACACCUCCAAAGGAGGUGUUGUUGGCCAUUAACAAGGCAGAAAAAUAAGAGAGAAAGGGAGAGUGUUUUGCUGCUUCAGUUCGAUUUCUAUAGGAAUUGAUUGGCCGAAAACAUUGCUGAAAAAUUGAGUUUGGCCGGAGAAGAUAACCGAAAAACUAAUGUUUGGCCGAAAACAACGUCGAAAACCGGUAAAACUCACUAUUAUUGGUCGUACUUGUAUCAUAUAUACGUUUCAACUAAUUUAAGAGUUAAUAAUAUACGAAAAAUAAUUUAGUAAGGGCAUGUCCAAUUGAAGGACAAAACAUUGUUUUCAGCUUUUUAUUUUUUAUAUAUUAUUAUGUAUUACUACUAUGAAAAGGUGUCAAAUAAGAUACAUGAGUAUUUUAAUCAUAGAACAAAAGUCAAGAAAACCAUCAUAUGAUUAUACCAUAUCAUCUCUGUACUUUCGAUUCUAGACAUAUAACAUAAAUAUAUGAGAAUUCUUUUUUUUUUCUUGUUCCCAUUUAAUUUGUUGUCGGAUUUUGAAAAUUAGCUUUUUAGUACUAAUAAUUAAAAUCCAUAUUUUUUUGAAGAUAGAUGUUUGUGACAUGUCCGAUUUAAGAGGUGUAAAAUUGAUUUAUACAUAUAAAAUAUAUGUUUUAUUAACUUUUACGUUAGCCGUAAAGAUUUUUUUUAAUUAUUUAUUUAUUUUAUUUUUUCAAAAGAGAACUUCGCUAACAAUGAUUUUCGGGUCAAUUUUUGUGCACCUAAUAAUCCCACAUUACGAACAUGAGGCCUUGGAGUCACUUUAUACGAAUCUACAUGAUUAUAGAGACCGAGUAGUAUCAAAAUUUAAACGUUAAUCAUCUCUAAUAAAUGAAUGUUUUUUUGCCACUUGUCACACUCUCAUUCAUUAUGCCACAUGUCAUUUUGUCAUAAUUUUGAGAUAUUUAUUUUCCACUUGUCAAUUACUUUAUUUAUUAUUAUUGAAUAUAUACCAUUAAUUUAGUUUCUAUAAAUUAAACAUACCAUAAUAACUAUAUUAAUUUCAAAUUUUAAAUUUCAAAUUUCAAACUUCAAUUUCAAUUUUAAAUAAAUUUACAAUUGAAACAUUCGUAUUUAAAAUUUUGUUAUAAUUAACACAUUUAAUAUACGGUUCUGACAACUAAACACAUAAUUUUAAUUUAAUUUUUUCAUUUUCUUUUUAAUUUAUACUUAUUUCAAAUUUCAAAUUUAAAUAAAACUGCUUGUUUAAUCAUUUGUAUUUACCAUUUUGUUUUAAUCAACCCGUAUAUUAUAUAGGUAUGACAACUAGUUAUGUAUUAUGUGGAUGAAUACUUUGGAAAAAUCACCAUCUAUCCUUUUAUAAUAUUUACUUCGAAUGGUUUCACAUUUUAAAUACAUAUUCUAAAAUAUUACAUGUUACUUAAGCAACGUUCCCCUUUUGCUUCACGUCUAGUUCAUUAUAAGUUAAUCCUUAAUUACAAUAUGUUCACAUUUAGCUAUCUUUNUUGAAUUUAUUUUAUUUUAUUUUCAUUUAUGACUUCAUUCGUGGCCCCAAAUUAUUUGCAUUUUCAUUAUAGUUAAUUAUACUUAAUUCACAGCAAAUCUCAACAACCCACUUAAUGUGACCAGAAGGAAAAUAAAAACGAUAAAAAAUAUUAUAUACUAGAAUUUUUAUAUUAAAAUUUCUUGUAUAAUACAUGAAUAGAAACAUAAUACCUUUUUGUCGUAUGUCAUUUUUCUUAUUUUUGGUAAAUAUUAUGUAAUAUUUAUAUACUAGUUGUGAGACCCGUAUAUUAUACAGGUUGAUUAAAACAAAAUGUUAAGUAUGAACGAUUAAAAAGUUUAUUUGAAUUUGAAAUUUAAAAUAAAUGAAAAUUAUAAGAAAAAAAAUGCAAAAAAUAAAAUUAUAUAUUUAGUUAUCCGACCUGUGUACUAAACAAAUUAAUUAUAACAAAAUGUUAAACACAAAUGUUUAAACUGUAAAUUUAAUUUAAUUUUAAUAUCUAAAAUUUGAAAUUAAUAGUAAUUAUGGUAGGUUUAAUUUAUGGAAACUAAAUUAAUGAUAUAUUUGGAAAUGAAAAUUGAAGUAAUUGACAAGUGGAAAAUAAAUAUAUUUCAAAAUUAUAACAAAAUGACAUGUGGCUAAUUGCAUGAGAGAAUGACAUUUGGCAAAAUCAUUCUCAUUUAUUAGGGUAGAUUCCGGGCACCUAAAAGGAUCAUUGUUCUUCUUGACUUUGUAUCUGGAGAAGAUUUCUUUGGGGAGGGGGAUCCUAUUAAAACUCAGAUCAGUCAGCACGUGUCAAUUCAGUUCAGUUUGUUACACCAUAGUUAGCUUAACCAAUGUACAUUUAGUUUAACUAUAGCUGUUAGAUGUCAGCUAGAGUUAACAGUUAGACAGGUAGCCUUUAUACUCUAUAUAUAUGUGUAAUUCAUAAUUCAUCAAUACAACACACAUUGACAUGAAUAUCUUCUCUACAUUCUAUUCUCAAUCUAAUUCUUAGAAUGGUAUCAGAGCUUACAAGUUAUAUGAUUUG